AGAAAACCAACAAAACCUAUAAACAGCUACUUGUCUUUGUGUGUUGAUUAAUUGUAGUUAACAUGGCACGUCAGGCAGAUCGUCUUGUUAAGAUUGGGCAGGAGGGUUUUGCAACCAUUGAUGAGCACUUCGGCCGGGCCAAGAGGCGGCCACCAGUUAUGAAGGUUCCCUAUGCUCAUCCCACAUAUUACGAUGUUCCUGCAACAGAAGUUAUCAACAGCAACGAGGCAGCUCAACGCUACAAGGGGAGGGUUUAUGUCGAUUACCCUAAGGGUAAACCAGUUCCGUUUUAAAGACCUAUUGAUUAAUCACUUAGCUUUCUUGUAUGCAUAACCUCCUCCAGUUGUGUUACCUUUAGUCCUGUACGAUAUUCUCCCUCUGCUAAACGUAGACGAGGAGAGGUUGCUAGAACUCGAGUCAGGAGCUUCUUCUUACUUCUUCAAAUAAACUUUCUGUGAUUUAUAUAUCAUUUUCUAUUUGUAUGUAUUGUCAUAAUUAUCUUUCUUACUUCCUCAUUAUCACCUCUUACUUAGCAUGGAAUUGAAAGAUACAAUAUGCUCUUGAAAUGCUUUGAAGCUCUUCAAGGUGUGAUUUCACCGACUAAGUUUGGAACUGUACAGAGCUCAAUGAUGAGCCGUGGGAGGCGUCUCUGAUUGUUGCACUGUAAGCAUGAGUGUACGUAUGAAUAUAACCAGCAGAUCCGCAAACCACAAGUGAUGACAAGCUUCUUAACACUGCUGCAUUUAACAGUUUUACCAACAAAAUGUUUUGUCGGUAUUUACUCUACCAUUCCGUCAGCAUGAAUUUUAUCGACUGAUUUACGGACGGAAACAGUCCAUUGGUAAAUUCCUCUUGUCAGUAAUUUCAUUAAUGUCGGUACAAAAAAACCCGAUGGUUUUACAAAUAGAAAAUGCAAGCCAAUUUUUUUUCCACUGGAAUAUACAGACGGAAUUAUUUCUUCGGUGAUUGACAGUGGCAUAUGGAGUAAUUUUAUUCCAAACCCUCUAUAAAAUACCGAAGGAAUUAUUCCAUCGGUGAUGUAACAGUUGAAAUGGCAUAUGCAGUAAUUAUUUUUCAACUCUCUGGAAUAUAACGACCAACAAAGUUUGUCGGUAACUUCGUCCGUAAUAAUUAAAAAAUAUAUAUAUUUUUAAAAAUUAUUUAUUGAACAAAAAAAGAAAAUAAUAAAAAAUAUAAAAUUGUAUAAAAUUCAAGUAUGUAAAAAUAAAUUACCUUAGUAUAAAAGCCAAAUAUUCAUUACAAAUUUAUAUGUUCAAAUAAAAUUAAACUAGAAAAAUGGCGGCGUUGGAGGAGGCUGAUCGUUCCCGGGACCAUAUGGCCAAAAAGAGUGUCGCACGUGACCCGCGCGGCGUCCGAUGGUGAUUUUUUCGUUAUGCGUUUGCUUGAUUGGUUCGUUGGGAGUCGCCACCUAGUAUUUAAUUGAGGGCAACUAGGAAACCCGGGUGUACUGGUCUUGUCAGAGAUUCACGGGUAAGGGACUGGUUGUGGUUAGGGAAGGUAUUUGCACCCCUAACGCACCCUACCUGAGGUAAGCUGCUUCGUGGCUUUGAUGUGAUAAAGAAGUUUUAAAAAUUUUGUUCUUUCAUCGGGUAUUAGAAAUACGACUUACAUGUAAGUUCAUAAUUCUUGACCGUGAUCAAAUCAAAAUAUUAAAUUCUUCUUUAUUCUUUGCAAUUUUAUCAUAAAAAAAUACAUUUAUAAAAAAAAAACUACAAACAAACACAUUCACUUUCACUAUAUUUUUUCUUUUUUUUCUUUUUCACAUCUAUAUUACAAAAAUUCAAAACUAAACAAAAAUUACAUUAAAUAAUUUGAAAUUACAAAAAUAGCCCAAAAACAAGUCCAUAACAGUGCUAGGAAGCUUUCUGGAACUGCAUGCAGUGCUGAAGAAGGUUCCUGAACAGUUGAACAGUGCGCAACCGCCACUAGCGUCGCGUGGGCUCACGCGCCGCCGCGAGAAAUUCCAGGCAGUAGGGGGCGCUGCUGUGGCUUCCUCCCCUCUUCACUUCCCUACCGGCGGUUAGGGUCUUCAUCAACUGCAAAAGAAUAAAACACCCAAACCAGUUGAUUUUAAUUUUUCUUUCUUUUUCAGAUUUAUUUCGGUCUUCUCCUUUUCAUAUCUGCUUCACCGCAGAUCUUUCUUUGGUUUACAUCUUCUUCUCCUUCGCUUCAGGUGGCCGGCAGUUGGGUGGCGACGACACUGGAUUCAGGUUGUUGCUUUGGCCGCUGCAAUUGGUGGCUGAAGGAAAUGGCGUGGAUCUGUGGGCUGCCGUGUGCUGGCUGUUGUGGCUGACGGUGUGGAUAAAACGUGGAUUUGUGGUCUCUGUCUUUAGCUCGGUCAACUUGAGAUCCCAAUCUGGCCAUUCCCCUUAACUAGACCAAAAUGUCACCUUCAACUUGGUUAACCUGAAAUCUCAAUCAAAAGACCCCUUUUAACCACAACCUUAGUCUUUUUCUUUAGCUCAACCAACCUAAAAUCCCAAUGUGGCGAUUCCCUUUAACUAGAAUCAAAAUAUCAUCUUCAACUUGGUUAACCUGGAAUCUUAAUUAAUCUAGAAACCCCCUAGGCUUCCUAGGCUUAGACUUGUGUGGACUUAGUGCACUAGAUUCUUUUUUGUUUAAGUUUUGUUGGUUGAAAAAAUACUUCCUAAAAUUAUUAUUAUUGUUAUUGUUUUUGUUAUUAUUAUUAUUAUUAUUAUUCAUACACAGUUAUAUUUAUGAUUAUUAUAUGGUCAAUUUGUCUAUGUCAAAGAAUAGAAUCUGAGGCAACUUUUUGACCAAAAUUCCACUCUCUAUUAAACCAAAAUGUUUAAUGCAAGCAACUUGGUUACUCGGAUUUGAGAUGUAAAUAGAUUUUUUGUUGGGAUGAGGUGGUCAGGUUGCGUCACAUUGAUUAUGUCAUGAAGUUAACUAGAGUAAGAAAUAAAGAUAUAAAGUUUCGGAGAGAAUCAAGAUCAGUUAAAGGAAAAAAAAAAGAUUAUGAAAAUAAAUUGGAAAGGAAAAGUUUAGUUAUAAGGAAUCAGAUUCACAAAGAAAUUUAAGUCUCAUCGAUUCUAGGAAACAAGUUGGAAGGAAUCAAUUUUACAAUAAUUGAACUUGGCACUAGAGAGAACCUCUGUGCCACUAAGUACUGAAUCGUUAUUGAAAUGUACUGAAGGCCAUUUGUUUGCCAUUUGUGCUCAUUAAGACCAUAAUUCUAUUCUUUUAUAGUUUUUUGGAAGAAAUAAAAAACUAGGGUGAGUUAAUAUUCUGUAAAAUAAGCUUGGAAUACCGUGCGGGGGCUUGGCUCAGAGAUCAUUGAGUUUUUCCUACAAAUUGCCUUUUAAUUUGUUUCACCUGUAAUUGGACUGGGAUUCGGUAAUUCUGUUAAGGACUUUCAUUUGGUUUAAGUUUCCCUUUUGUUUACAUAUGAGGUUCCGAGACAACAGUUGCUUGCUGUUCUUGAACAAACAUUGCUUGGAGGUUAUCCAAUGCCGAGAUCAAGGUCAGAUAAUACUAGCGUACGAUUGUGCUUAUUGCCAUUAAUUAGAAACUGCAAUAUCGUAACAUAAUUAAAAUGAGAUUAUUCUGAUUAGAGAGCAGAAGGAAUCUUCUUUCAUAAUUGGCUUUUGCGAAGAUUUAGUGUUUUUGCUGCUCCUACUUUUGGACCUGACUUGAUUCCUGACCGGUAGAAACAGCAUUAGUCCAAAAGAAGGGAAGCUUUUGUUUUCUUUAAUCACAUGAUCACAUGCCCAGCACAAAUUCAUAAAAGUGGCUCUAAUGAUUGGCUGACAACAGUUGUUCAUAAGCAAUGUUUGCGUUCCUUAUUUUUCAAUUUACAAAGUAUUUAGAACAUUCAAUACUUUUUUGUAUGCAUAACCUCCUCCAGUUGUGUUACCUUUAGUCCUGUACGAUAUUCUCCCUCUGCUAAACGUAGACGAGGAGAGGUUGCUAGAACUCGAGUCAGGAGCUUUUUCUUACUUCAAAUAAAAUUUCUGUGAUUUAUAUAUCAUAAUUUUCUAUUUGGCUGGUCAAGCAUGCAUUGUCAUAAAUAUCUCUCUGCUUCCCUGAUUAUCACUUUAUUCACCUAUUACUUAGCAUGAAAUAUUGAAAGAUUAAUGCAGUUGGAAGCACAACAAUAUAGCUGCAAGCAUGCAAAGACAGAAGAUAAACUGAAAUAUGUUAAAACACAAAAGAAUCCCAAAACCUUAUUUUAUUUCUAAAAUAUUAUGUGAUCAAGUCUACCUCCUAGAGAGGUUUACAAUCCCUAUUAUAGGCUAGAAAAAUGGACCAAGAUUGGAAACAAAAUCAAAAUCCCAAAACAUAACGGGAAAUAACAUAAAAUCUGCAAAAUUAAGAAAAAAUAACAAAAUUAACCCAAAUAAUAACUCAUGAGCCUAAUUUUUGGAGAUCCAAUGCUCCAAUAACUACUGAGUGGUUUUUAAUUGGAAAACAACAUGUAGAAUUACUACUCUGGUCUUGCGUGAUCAUGCUUUUUCUUGGACCAAAACAUGUCUUACUAGUACAUGAAAAUAUGUGGGAGGCCAUAUAUAUAGUCUGUUUAUGGAAAAUACAUAAUUAAUUUGCUGUUCAAAUGGUUUUAAGCUCUUCAAGGUGUGAUUUCACUGAAUAAUUUCGAGUUUAGAAUUAUCACCUCAUUUUGGAAUUGUCCUGAGCACAGGAUAAAAUGAUGAGCCAUGGGGAGCGUCUUGGAUUAAGAAAGAAUAAACGGAGUUCAAGGUAAAACAACAGCUUAGGAAAAAAAAGUACAAAUUUACAAUAUAUCUAAGAAUAUCAGCGAUCAUGACCAUGAUUGGAUCAUUUGUGAAUUCUAUAACCAAAAUUUCCUUCACAAAUCUUUAACUAAGCUGGUAGUCGAUGAAGAGUUAAGGAAAAGCAUGAUUCCCAAUCCGAGCUACAUAUAUAAAUAUCUUAUCUCCUAUGAAAAUGAGAAGGGUACGCCUCCCUUUGAAGCAUUGAUUUACACAUAUCUUUUACAGAAAAAGGGAAACAAUGGGAAAUGCUCUGAGUAUAUACCUUUUCUUGAUCUUUCCCAAACCUUCAUUAUAAAUGGGACCCAUCAAACAUGAGAUGUGCUUUAACCUCCACCAUAUUUCAUCUUAGCCUAGAAGGAUAGACAAGAAUAUUAUUGCUUCUGAAACAUAACGAUUACAAGCAUCGCCUUUCGGUGAACUUUUGAUGACAUGAAACUGCCACAAAUUGGGUGCUAUCCGAGGGACUUUUGUUUUUCUGCUCUGUUAUUGGAUAUAUACAACUGAAAUCUUUAAGUCCUCUUUAGGGUACCCCUGAAAGAAAAUGGUCUUUCAUAGAAAGUCCUGGGGAAUCUGAGGCAUAUAAUAUGAGAUAUAUAUCGUCCCAAGAUCAUAAAAACGAUAAAUCUUAAUCUCAUCAAGUGUAGCCAUGAAGUGGGAUCAAAACCUAUUUUCUUAUUGUUAUUAACUAAAGGGAAAGCCACAACUAAGUCUCUGUGCUAUGAUUGUGAUUGUGUCGGCGUCAAGGAAUUGCCACGUAGUAGUUUGGUUUAGGGUCGCUAGAAAACCCGGAUAUACUGGUCUUAUAAGAGAUUCUAAGUGUAAGGAAUUGGUAGUGGCUAUGGAAGGCAUUAACACUCCUUGGGCACUCUACCUGAGUUAAGUUGCAUUGUGUGGUUUAAAUAUGGUUUAAAGGUUUUGAUGGGUUCCUAACCGGUAUCAUGUCUAUGUUUUAGGAUGGGGUUUAUUCAUGUGAAUAAAUCUGGCGUUUUGAAUUUAUUAUGGCCUCGUGUGCCCCAAUGAAUUCUUAUAGAAAGGAUUCACGUAGGUGCCCUAACAGGGUUCAUUUAUCCUAAAAAGCGGAAGGGUUUUCCAUAAUUCAAUCGUGCGUUGUGGUGAAAAGUACUCCCAAUUAAAAUUGAUGAAUAUUUAGAAUAAUUAUGAGAAUUUUCUAGUCAAUUCCUGAUAUUUAAUUACCAGUCUACUUGCAGGUCCAACAUUUAUACCACAAUAUUGACCAUUAAUUCUCAUGAAUUAAAAUUUUAAAGGUUAUUGAAAUAUUGGCUAAAUUCUCAUGAAUUUAGUAAACCAGUUAUUAAAUUCAAAAUGCUAGGAAAUAUAUAUUUUGUAAAAACUUCCUAAAACACAUGUGUGUGUCUAUAUAUAUAUAUAUAUAUAUAUAUAUACUUUUUAAGCAAACACAUGAUUUUUGCAUUUUUGAGGGACUUGUUCGUAUGCAAUUAAAACAUUUGGAAAAAUUAAUUUUUUUUCUUUUUAUCUUUUCUAUCACAAAAUGAAAAUAAGUAAUAAAACAAAUGCAACACACACAUACAUUCUCUUUUUUACUAUAUCUUACUUGCACAUCUAAAAAUUACACAUGUUUACAAAACACCAAAAAUUCAAAUUUCUAACAAUAAUUUAAAAAAAUUGCAAAAUAGACCUUCCAAAGGUAAAAAAUAAUUUGGAGAAGUUGGAGCUCGGGAAUAGUGCUAGAAGAUUUUAGGGUUGGAGGAAUAGUGGCGAUGCGUGUAUCGAGGUGCCAUUUCCACUAACAACGCGUGGAACCACGCGCUGUAGCAGCUGGAGAGAUGGAAAACAAGGUGGAUCUGAAGCAUAAUCUUCUUCUCUUUAAUCUUGUGCCAACAGUGAGUGUCACCUAACCUGCAAGACAAAGAAAAAAAAGCACAAACAAUAGCUUUUACUUUUAUUUUAUUUUUUAGAUCUCAUUCUCUCAUUCUUUCUUCAUCUUAGUUUGCCUUUUCUUUUCUUCUUCAGGUGGUUGCUGCUGCUAUCAUAGAUGAAGGACGUUGGGUGUUGCCAAGAGGAGUUAAUACCUUUUUUGGUGGUUUCGGGUGUACUUGUGUUAGAGAAAAACAAAACGGGGAGUCUUGGAAGUAGUUGUUAUUGGUUGGAGCUGCUGGUGUUCGUGAUGGCUGGUAGCGUGGAGACCGAGAGAGAUGAGGAAAUGGGUCUAUUUCUUUGAUUUGGUGAAGAGAAAAUGAUGGUUGGUUGUUUUUUUUUUAUUUCACGGGUGGUGGUGGUUGAAAUGGGUUAAGAGGAGCAGGAUUUAAAGGAUAAUGCUCUAGUUGUGUAUUAUAGAAUGUACCUAUAUAAGAAAUAUUAUUGGUAUACUCUUAAAUUGUAAUCUCCACCAUUACUAUUGUAUAUUGUCAUACACAUAUAUAUAGAAAAGGCUGGCUAACCAAUAGGUUAAGCCUCCUAAUUAUUCUCAACUUGGUAUCAGAGCCUUCUGCAAUCAGAACUAUUUCUUCCCUCUCCCUAUGGACUCUACUCCUGCUGCCACCCUCUCCCACUACCACACUGGCGGUGCAGCCCAGCCGGCCAGCCAAUCAAAAGUUGUUGCUGAUGGUUCUUUCUCACACCAGUAGUAGCCCUAACUUGCAAAGCAGCACCAUGGUUCCUUCUCCCAUGUUUCUGUUUUCCCUCUUCACAUCAUGGGGACAUCAACUCCUUUUAUCAUUGCAUUAUCCAUCACUCAGCAAGUGGUUUCAUUGAAUCUUACAAACACCAAUUAUCUCUAUUGGUGAAUGCAGGUAAAGCCAUAUCUUUGGUCAAGGUGUUUUCCACUUUGUCGAUGGCUCAAUGUUAUGUCCUCCCUCACAUGUUUUUGAUAGUUUUGAUGGUUCCUCUUUGGCAAUCAACCCCUCCUUUCUUUGUUGGAAGCAAUAUGAUUAGCUUAUUUUAAGUGUGUUACCCCCCUCUCUCUCCAUGGAUGUACUGCACCUUAUGGUAAAAUGUCAGACUUCUUUUUGUGUUUGGUGCACUCUUGAGAAAGUGCUUGCUUCUCCGUCGAAUUCUUGUAUCAUACAACUCCAUGGGUCUUUUCAAGAUCUUUGGCAAGGCGAUGCCUUAGUUGCUCAAUAUAUGCAGCACGCCAAGUCAUUAUUUGAUGAACUGGUUGCUGUUGGUUGACCCCUUUCUCUUGAAGACUUCAACCUUUACAUAUUUUAUGGUCUUCGUGGUGAGUUUAAAGACUUGGUAACUAGUCUUGUGACAAAGGCAGAACCGUUAUCAUACUUGACCUUCAUAGUCAUCUUCUUACUCAUGAGUUUCUGCAUAAGACUUCCCUUCCAUCCAUGGCUGCAAAUCCACCUCUGCUGCCCACACCAUCUCUUCUGCCCUCUGCUCAUCUUGCUCAGCAUCAGCACAACCCUAAUUUCAAUCGUAACUGUAACAACCCUGAUUUUCUACAUUCUUUUUCGCGAUACAUUGGAAAUUUUCAGGUAAAUUUUUUUUUUUUUGAUAUACAGGUUCCACCAAAAUUUCAGCAGAGUCUCCCCUAUACUGGGAGGUCCCAAGUUAUUGACAUAUACCUGUUUACACUUCUAAUAUCUCACAUCUCAUAACUCGAUCACGACCCAAUCAUCUUGGGUCUCAAUCCCACAAACAUCAUCAUCAUCACAACCAUAAUAUUUAUAACAUACAUUGAACAACAAAUAUCAUUAUAGAGGAAUAAAUGAGAUAAACACGCAUACAUGAAACAUGAUUAUAUGAAUUUCAGAGUUAGGUUUGUUUAUUCAAGUUUAAACAUCAAAUAUAUAAAUUAAGUUCUAUAAAUGUUUUAAUAUUUCAAAAUACAAGGAUAUACUACCUAGAACUACAUAACAAAAAGUGAACAAAAGCUAGGAUCUACUCCUGUAGUACACUCGAUGAUCCUGAAACAAAAUACAUAUUAUUGAAACAUGAAUAUCACAAUAAGUAUAGUAACACAAAUAUCCAACAAUUUAAAAAGGCAAACAUGUAUUCAUAUUCUAUUCACUUCUCCAUUUUUGUUUCCAUUGGAACUCUUCUUCAUUCAACUACUAAAACCGUUUCAUCUUCCAUUUUUAACUUCCAUUCAAGAUACCAUAAAAUCAACCACAACUAUUUUUGCCUAACUCAUUGUCAAUACUAAUUCCACCGGUAUCAUCAUCACCUCGUAAGCAUUGAUGUUUAGUGAUCCCCUUACCCGGGACCCUAACAUACACUAAAUGUAUGCUAGUCCAUGCCCCAUAGGCGUCAAUGCAUGGUGAUCCCCUUAUCCGGGAUCCUAACAUACACUAAAUGUAUGUAAGUCCAUGCCCAUAGGCAUCGAUGCAUGGUGAUUCCCGUACCCGGGAUCCUAAGAUACACUAAAUGUAUGCUAGUCCAUGCAUGGUGAUCCCCUUACCUGGGAUCCUAACAUACACUAAAUGUAUGCUAGUCCAUGCCCUAUAGGCAUCAAUACAUCGUGAUCCCCUUACCCGAGAUCCUAACAUACACUAAAUGUAUGCUAGUCCAUGCCAAUUUCAUCCAUUAAUAUUGUCAUUCUUUGUCCGGUCAUAGUUAUCAUUACGAAUUUUCAUUUCAAGCAUGGCUCGUUUCUUUUCGAAGCUACGAUGUAACAUCACAUGUUUCCCAAAGGGAAAGGACCUAAAUUUUCACCCUUUAAUGCAUCUAAAUAGUCAUUUUAGCGAUUUUCCGAAUCUGCCAGCAAAGGUCGUAUUCCGACCUAUCCUCAGAUUUUUUUUCUAUAUCUGGAGUUCUAGGACUCCUUUUCAAGCAAGUUUGGUCUCGUUGGAAAGUUAAGACACAGGGCUAAAAGUCCCAUGAAGGGAGGAGAAACCAGUUCUGCCCCCAAGACAUUCGAAAUUAUUCGUCAACAAAUUAGACCUACUGCCCUAUAGGGUCUGUCAUGACCCAGUCUCGGUUGGUGACCCAUAACUGGAUUUCUAUAGCUCUAAAUUGAGUAAGGCCAGUUUCCUUAGUUAGUCAACAUCCAAAUCUACAAUUAUUAUGAGGAACCUGAUCCUAAUUCCCUCAUCCUCCUACUCGAAUUCUCUCCACAAGUAAGGAGACGAAUCUAUCCAGAUUCAUCAACCUUUCCAUUUACACACAAUAUCCACAAUUCAACCUUUUCCCUUUAUCUCAACCCCUAGCCAUAUCACAUGUCGUUUAAGAGUGUCAACAAUAUCUUUUUACGAGUCAGUUUAUCCUAACUAAUUGAUCUAUACCAUUGUAUGCAAGGUACUCUUAUUCAUUCCAAUAAUAUCACAACAAGUCUGAUACAUAUCAAUGUACGUAAGACACUCGUAUCCAUUUCAAUUAUGUCAUAACUAGUUGAUACACAUCAAUGUAUGCAAGGUACUCAUAUUCAUUCCAAUAUUUAUCGAAGCAAUAAAACAAUAAAUUCUGAAAUCAAUGAGUUUACAGAAAUUGAAAAGGCAAGGUGCGAUGCACCUACCUAGAGUAUGUGCAUGUGCUUCCACUCCAUGCAAUUGUCCAGUCCCCACAGCUUUCUCUGUACCACCAGAGAUUCAGUCUUUAUCAACAAUACAACCAACAUCACAACUUUAUUUAAUUUUCAUUCAACUAGUAUUCUCAAACCAAUCACAAGGAAUUUCUUUAGGAUCUCAUACUCUUUCCCAUUUUCAUGUUUAUAUUCAUUCUUAUAAUUUUGUUAUCAAAACCAUCACUCAACAACAAUUCCAAGCAAAGAUUAAGAAUCGUCUAAUUCCGAUCAAUUUAGCUUAACCAACCCAGAACACUAUCUAGUGUUUUAAUUAUAAUUAAAGCUGAAAAACUUUGUUUUGGGUGUGAUUUAUCUCCAUCAAAGGCUAAAACCUAGAAAUACAACUUUUAUGAAGAAGCCAACUCCAAAUUAUUUUGUUUUAAGGCUCAAAAUCAACAAUCAUAAUAGCCCCUCCUUUAUAGCUAAAUUUUUUGGACAACGAGGAUUUUCAUCCCUUGAAAAUCCUUUUCAACUUUCAACUUAUUUUCAUGCAAAAACAACAUCAUCCAAGGUCAUUUGGCAUCAUUAAAUCACAAAUUCAAACCAAUUAUAAAGCAAAGGAUUCAAACAAUUUCCCUACCUCUACAAUAUAGCAAGAUUAGACCAAAAUAAGGAAACUCAUUCCUUUUAGGAUUUCUCUUAUUAUUAUUAUUAUUAUUGUUAUUAUUAAUACAACAAAAUGAUGAACCAUUUAUUUUCUUUCACUUUCUCCUCGUGCGAUUAAACAUAUGCGACAAACCUUAACAAUUAAUAUUCUUAGAUCAUUAUCACAACAACAAUUUCACCCUAUUAGUUGGAAUCCAUGACAAUCUUCAUUAACUAAUCAAUUUGCCAAAAAUACUUAUGGCUAGCUUUAAAUAUGUUUUAUUUUCUGAAUUUCUUUCAUUUCAAUUUCUUCAUGGUUCCACCCCAUUUAUAUCCACACAACCAACAAGUUAGCUUUUUAUUCAAUCAACAUGUUCAUAUAGCAAUGUUAUAUAGCAAUAUUCCUUACUAUUCUUACACAAUAAUCAUUCUUCCCCUCAUAUGAAGAAUACACAAUUAAUCUAUCAUAAUACUAAUAACAAAAACAUAUUUUACCAUUACAUCUUCCAUAAAACCUACACCCACACAAUCUAAUUUCAUCAAAACUUGUAUUUAAUCAAGCUUACUACAUUUUGCCAAAACUAGCAAUAGAUUCAAAAGGCAAUAAGUCAUCAACCUCUGAUUAUUAUGUUAAAUCAGACUACAUAUCAUAUAGUUUUGCAUCAUAUAUCUCAAAAUCAUAAUGAUCCAACGGUUAGAUCUCCCUAGAUCUUAAUAAAACCGAGCUUACCUUAAAAUGGACAAGCUACUGUUCAACAUGCACAAAACCUUGCCAAAUAAUGAGUUUCGAUCUCCACCGUCCAAAAUGAAGAAAACAUCUAGACGCACCACAUAUCCAAGAAUGAGCAUGAUCCAACGGUGGAAGAGAGAUAAAACGGCUAGCGACCAAACUGCCCUGCAGGUGUAUUUCCUUUUUGUUUUCCAGAAAAUUUCCGAUGGUAAUUUCUAUCCAACGGAUUGUGUUCCUUCCAAUCCCUCCAGGUAGUUAGUAGUGGAGUGUGAUAAGAAUAACAUAUCCAAAACGUAGCAUGAUCCAAUGGUGGAUUCCAGAGAUAUUGCCACCGGAUCACUAUUGGUUUUUCUCUAAAAUCUGCAGUUCUCUCUCUAUCUGAUUUUCUCUAUUUUUUUUCUUUCUUUUUUCUUUCCUUUUUCUUUUUUUUAACUUGUGGCCUCUUUGCAGUUUUAUAGGCACCUUUUUCCAUAAUUAUAAUUUUGUCCCUCAUUCAUGCCUUUAUAUAUUUUAUUUUAUUUUUCAUGUAAACUAUCCGGUUUAUUUAUGCUUAAAUCGCUAGUCUUUACCAAACUCCGAUUGGGAUGAGAUAUUUAACCAAGGUAGGAAAACAUAUUAAUAGACUUCAUGCAAAAUUUCAUCCCAAUUUCAUGUAAAAUUGGUCAGUUCAUGACCUUUUCAUCAACGAUCCAAAUUUUCUUGUUCAAUCUUCACAUAAAAUCAUAUCAAUUUUCCUUCUAAACCUUUAAGUCAAUUUAUUAUUUUUGAAUAUAUAUUCAUUUUAGAAUUUCCACCUUUAUUUAUUUAUCGGGCUUAUUACCAUUUCAAAAUAACAUCACUGAUUUUUAAUCGGUGCUUGCACCUUCAGUCCUACCCUUUUUAUUGCACUAUCCUUUAUUAUAAUGUAUUCUUUAUUACCUCACUUAUUUCUUAGAAACAUUUUGUUAUUUUUUUCUCAUUAUUUUAUCCAUCAAAACAUGUUACCAGUUUCUCUGUCCUUGUGAAUUCUAAACCAAAAUUCAUUUUAUAGAGGUCAUCUCUUCCAUUUUAUAUCAUUAUUUAUCUAUUAUUUCUAAUCUUGGUUUCCAUCACUCAUUGAAAUCAUACCACUUUCAAUCUCACAUUUACAUGAGGUUUUACACAUCGACAUAUUUAAAUUAUAAAUUUCCAGGGUCUCACAGUAACAGAGGUCGUUCUCACGAAAAUUGGCACCCCAACAGCAGCCGGUAUAACAGCUAGCACAUGUCUAAUUUUCAUGGUUUUCACUCAUCUGCUCCCGUAGAUUGGAAGCAAGGUAACUGGUAGCAAACCAGACGACCUGCUAGUUCUGGGAAGUGGCCUCCUCACUGACCUUUUGAGCAGAACAUCAAGUGUCAGAUGUGCUUCUCCUUUGGACAUACCGCCCUACAAUAUGCUUAGUUUCAUAGCAAUGGCCACCAGCCCUAUGCUCCUCUUGCUGUUGGCUCUGUUUCUGCCCCUACUUGGUUCCCGGAUACUGGUGUGAACCAACAUGUUACACCUGAUCUUGCAACUCUAACCGAUUUUGCACCCUAUCUUGGUAAUGAUUACUUGCAUGUUGGUGACGGUAAGGGUCAUUCCAUAUCCCAUAUUGGACAUACCAUGUUACGUUCCCCUAAACGCACCUUUACAUUCUCCAUAUUCCUCAUAUUACCAAACUAUUGCUAUUUGUUCAAAAAAUUUAUCAUGAUAAUAAUGUUUAUUUUGAAUUUAGGUCUGGUUUAUAUGGAUGAAAAGCUAAGACAUAGGCUUAAAACUUUCAUGAAGAGUUCAAGAUUCAAAACGACCGUUUUCAAGUUCAAAUGGUUGCAACAAAAGAGAAGUCGGAAUCUGUCUUGCAGCCCAGACAAUAUUCAGUGUUCAGCCCAUAACUCGAGUUCUAGAAGUCCAAAUGAGCUCAUUCCUAUUUUGUUUGAAAGCUGAGACAAAUGCCGAGAACUUUCAUGAAGAUUAUCUGUUCAAAUUGUGACGUUAGUAAUGACGUUUUGUUCAGACAAGAAGAUAAUUGUAGUCACCAAGUCAAGAGGUGGCCACCCACUCAAUAAUUAGUCAUCAAAUCAAUAGUUCUGAAUUUUAGCCUAUAAAAGGAGGCAUUUUUCAUACAUUUAGACAUCUUGGUGUUCAGAUCAAGAUCACUCUCUCUCUUUGUAUUUUGUAAUGUUCAAGUUUUAUUUUAUGUUAUAUUAAUCUCUUGUUUAUGUUUUUCAUUUCAUUUACUAUACUUAGUUAACUUAUAUCAUGUUUAUGUUCUUAUAUUGUUUAUUUAUGUUUUUCUUCUUCAUUAUGUUUAGCUAAGUUAAUUUUGUGAAGGUGAAAAGGGUACACUAAUGGUGUAAGAAUAAGUAUACUAUAAACUCAACAUGGACUUUAAUGUUUGAUACUAGCAUGUUUUGUAUUUGUUAUCUUACUCGUUCUUAAUACCUUGCUUGUUAAAUGGUUAAUCUAGAUUUGUGUUGUACAACCCUUGGUACAACAAAUACUUGACACUUUCAUAGCCUACUGUAUGGUACAACCGACACUUGUGCUAUGAAAGGAACUUGAUUUGUUGUUAAUAUAAGUUACACCAUGAAUACUUGACCACAUAUAUAAGUAUUGACAUUACUCAAAUAAGACAAUUAAUAUAUUCAUGUUAAUAAUUUAUAAUCCGAUUGAAACCUCCUUUGUGUGUGGUUUCCAGUUGAGUAAUAAAAAGAGUUUAUACUAUAUUUAUUUGAAAUACCAUUAGUGGAUCCUCUAACCUUGACAAUUGUUUAAUCCUUGUAUAAUCCUUACAUCAAUAUCACAUCUCAAAAGUUUUCUUCAACUCCUUUUCAUUUGUUGUUUAUAAUUUUAUAUAGUUCACCUCCCUGUGAUUCAACCCCGGUCUUGCCGGGUUAUUUAUUACUUCGACACUCCUGCACUUGGGAUAAGACAUCAAUAUUUUGAUCGUGUCGAUAAUGUUGUUUUUGCAUGAAAAUAAGUUGGAAGUUGAAAAGGAUUUCUAAGGGAUGAAAAUCCUCGUUGUCCAAAAUUUUAGCUAUAAAGGAGGGGCUAUUGUGAUUGUUGAUUUUAAGCCUUAAAACAAAAUAAUUUGGAGUUGGUUUCUUCAUAAAAGUUGUAUUUCUAUGUUUUAGCCUUUCAUAUAGAUAAAUCACGCCCAAAACUAAGUUUUACAGCUUUAGUUAUGAUUAAAACACUAGAUAGUGUUCUGGAUUGGUUAAGCUAAAUUGAUCGGAAGUAGACAAUUUUUAAUCUUUACUUGGAAUUGUUGUUGAGUGAUGGUUUUGAUAACAAAAUUAUAAGAAUGAAUAUAAAUAUGAAAAUGGGUAAGAGUAUGAGAUCCUAAAGAAAUUCAUUGUGAUUGGUUUGAGAGUACUAGUUGAAAUGAAAAUUAAAUAAAGUUGUGAUGUUGGUUGUAUUGUUGAUAAAAAAUUGAAUCCCUGGUCGUACAGAGGAAGCUAUGGGGACUGGACAAUUGCAUGGAGUGGAAGCAUAUGCACAUACUCUAGGUGGGUGCAUCACACCUUGUCUUUUUAAUUUGUGUAAACUUAUUGUUAAAUUUUACAAUUUAUUGUUUUAUUGCUUCGAUAAUAUUGGAAUGAAUAUAAGUACCUUGCGUGCUUUGAUGUGUAUCGACUAGUUAUGAUAUAAUUGAAAUGGAUAUGAGUAUUUUACAUACAUUAAUAUGUAUCAAACUUGUUAUGAUAUUGUUGGAAUGAAUAAGAGUACCAUGCAUGCAACAAUAUACCUCCAUUAGUUAGGAUGAUGUUUGAACGAAUAUGAGUAUCUUGUGUGCAUUGUUAUGUAUCGAAUUAAUUUUGUUAUUAUUAGGAUAAAUACAAUUACCUUACAUUGAUAGACAACGAAUUUGUCAUGAUAACCUUGGAAUAGAUGUAAUUAUCUUACAUACCUCAGUAUGGAUUGGGUAUACACAAUGACUUAGAGAUUAGGGGAGAAAUGAUAGAUAAUUGGUCACCAUAGUGUCGGUGGCUAAGGAUAUAUUCCAAUGAUACUUGACACUGCGAUGAGGGUGACCAAGGUUAUGUGAAUGAUGCUUAGUGGUCGUAGUGUUGAUAACUAAGUUUGUGUGUGAAUGAUACUUAGCAACCGUGUUUACAACGCAUAUGAUAGUAAAUAAAAAUAAAAAAGAAGUAAGGGGAUCGGUACGAAUGGAAAAAUCAGGUGACAUUGAUUAGCUAUCCAGGUUUGGAUAGCUAAUGGUAUCAAUGAGGUUUCAUUGGUACUAGCAUUUCAGACGAUAUUGAUUAGCUAUUCGGGUUUGGAUAGCUAAUGGUAUCAAUGAGGUUUCAUUGGUACCGACAUUUCAGAUGAUAUUGAUUAGCUAUCCGACUUUGGAUUGCUAAUGGUAUCAAUGAGGUUUCAUCGGUGCCGACAUUUCUUAAAUUGAUUAGUCGAUCCCGAGCAAUUGGGUGACUAAUGAUGUUAGUAAAGAUUACUAACAUCGGCAUGGUUACUCCUGGUUCUGUGAAAAAGAUAAGUUGAUUAAUUAUUCUGGGUUGAGAAUAGUUAAUGAUAUCAAUAGGUCACAUUGGUAUCGACAACCAUUUCUGGUGUGAUUAGCUACUCAAGGUAAGGAGGCUAAUGAUGUCAAGGGUCCCUAACAUCGACAACUUAGAUGGUAAACCAGAUACGAAUAAGAUUUGAUUAACUAUUCCGGGGAAGGAAUAGUUGAUGAUACUAAUCGGCACGUGAAUGUAAUUGACUAGUCUAGCCCAAUAUUAGAAGACUAAUGAUACUAAUGAGAUUUAUUAGUGUCGGCGAUUACCUUCUAGAAAAUGAAAGGAAAAAUGUUGAUUAGUUAUUCCAAAAGAAUGAGAUAAGCUAAUGAUAUCAAGAGAGAAAUAUCUUGGUAUAAAGUGAGAAUUAAUUUAUAAGGAGAUGGUGUUCGAAAAUCAUUGAGUUAUGUUGAGAUUUCCAAGAUGAAAUUAUUCUCAACAAAUGGGAAAUGAUAUUAAAUGGAUAUUGGUAAUAGAUAGAAAAUGCAUGUUGUAAAAGAGGUUUAUACCUAAUUUUAUGUAUCAAAAGAAAUUCUAUGGAGAUUAUUACCUAUCAUUGUUAUUGUUUGUUACUACCUUUUUAUAUUUUUGUGUACAUGUUAAUUUCUAUUUUCAGGUCCAUUAGGGUCGCGUCCAGAAUGAUAUUGGUUUAGUUACCUUUUUCUUUUGACCAUGUAAUUAUUUGUAAAUUAAGAGUCUUAUAUCCUAAAACUUGAAAUGUAAUAUUAAUUUGUAAAUUUGAAUGUAUGACUUUAAUCUAAUGUUUGUAACUCUAAGUACUUAUUUAACCAUGCAUGUUUAUAGUUGAAAUCGAAUCUUUCACUUGAAUUACAUUAGAUGAUGUUAUUGAAUAAGAUGUGUUGUGUUGAUGAUGAUUAGUUGGGUUGAGAUCCAGGACAAUUGGAUUGAGAUGUUAAUUAAAAUUGAAAGUGUAAUGUGAUUUUAUCGAUAACUUAGGACCUCCCAGUAUAGGGGAGACUCUGCCAAAAUUUUGGAGAAAUUUUGGUUGAACUUGUAUAUAAAAAAAAGAAAUUACCUGAAAAUUUUGAAUGUAUCGCGAAAAAGGAUGUAGAAAAUUGGGUUUGUUAUAGAAAAGGCCAUUGAAGUUUUCUACCAAGACUCAAACUUUUGAGAAAAGGAAGACUCCAUGAAGAAAAGGGGGACAUGUAUUUCUCAAGUAAGUAUACAUGCAUAUUGAUCAUAAUGCAUUGCUUUCAACAUUGACAGAUCGGUGUUUCACCAUCAACUUUUAGGUAGUGCGUUUUCUAACCCUAUCUCUUUUUAAGUGCGCUUUAGAGCCCUCAUCUCCUGUGUAGUGCGUUUUCUAACCCUAUCUCCUUUCGAGUGCGCCUUUGAGCCCUCACCUCCUUUUGAGUGUGCUUUUGAGCCCUCAUCUCUCGGGUAGUGCAUUUUCUAACCCUACCUCAUUUCGAGUGCGCCUUUAAGCCUUCACUUCUUUUCAAGUGCGCGUUUGAGUCCUCACUUCUUUCAAAAGUGCGUUUGAGCCCUCACCUUCAGGUAGUGCGUUUUCUAACCCUACCUCCUUUCGAAUGCGCCUUUGAGCUCUCGUAUCCCUUUGAGCCCUAUCUUGUCAUCUCUUCAAGACUCUUCAAAACAUCUUCCACUUGGGUAGGUCACCCAUUACAAUGAGACCAUCCUUUUUUCUGGGUAGAUCACCCAUUACGAUGAGACCACUCUUUUCUUUUCUCACUUGGGUAGGUCACCCAUUACAAUGAGACCAUCCUUUUUUGUGGGUAGGUCACCCAUUACAAUGAGACCAUUCUCCAUGUUUUUUUACGUGGGUAGGUCACUCAUUACAAUGAGACCACUCUUCCCUUUUCCCACUUGGGUAGGUCAACCAUUACAAUGAGACCAUUCUCCAUGUUUUUUUACCUGGGUAGGUCACCUAUUACAAUGAGACUAUUCUUCCACCUGGGUAGGUCACUCAUUACAAUGAGCCCAUUCUUCAACCUGGGUAGGUCACCCAUUAUAAUGAGACCAUGCUUCCACCUGGGUAGGUCACCCAUUACAAUGAGACCACUCUCCCCUUUUUUUUCACUUGGGUAGGUCACCCAUUAUAAUGAGACCACAUUACAAUUUUUUUUUCCAUCAGGGUAGGUCACCCAUUACAAUGAGACCACAUACAAAAUUCAAGUUAAAGGGAAUCCGAGAUGCGAUUUCAGUUUAACCCAACCAAAGACAGAAUUUAGAGGAUCGCCAUUAUCGGGAUCUCAAGAUAACCAAGUUAUAUAUAGCUUUGAUCGUUAGUGUUCGGUUGAAGGAGAUUGCUAUGAAGACAGGGUUUAAGAUCAACCAAGCUUUGAAGAGAUCAAUUUUGGAAUAUUUAAUUUUGUUUUAUCUUUACAAAACUUACUGUCAUAAUCCAUUUUUGGGUUAUUCCCCAAUUCACAUUUUUUUUCUCUCUUCAAAAAAAUAAAACACAAAAAAAAAUCAAAAAUAGUGUCAAAAAAAUAUAAUAGUGAAAAGAGGAUGCCAGAACGCUCAGAAAAUGGUUAAAAAUUGGUUGAGGAGGUUCAAAAAUACAAAGAUUGAAAUUUGACGGUAUUUUAUUGACUGAUGAGAGCCCUGUUGACAAAGAAAAUUCAAUUUGAGGAAGAAAAGUCCACAAUCAGAUGUUUAUGGACUCAAUUUAAUUUUAUUGAAGGUUUAAUUGAAUUUAUGAAGGGUUUGAUUGUAAGAAAAAUUGAUUUUGGAGUUAAUUUGGGCUUUAACUGGAAGAAAUUAAAGUUCUAGGUCAAAUUAUAAUUUUUGAGAGUUAAUUUGGUCAAAUCAGGGGCUUAAUUGCAUAAAUAUUGAAGUUUGAUUGCCAAUUAGGGACUUAAUUGAAGAAAUCCGAAACCAAGAACCAAAAUGAAAAACGCGCGUAAAUAGAGGGGCUGCAAUUAAACCGAAUCAGGGGUGAAAUUGAAGAAAUUAAAAGUUUAUUGAUCAAUUGAGGGUCAAAUUACAUAAAUUAAAGACCAGGGACCAAAGUGAAAACGGCGGCCAACUUCAGGGCCAGUGUUUGAUUUUUAGCAGGGAUGCAAUUGCAUUGAUUUUUAAAUCAAAAUUGCAAUUUAGGACUUGAUUGAACAAAUUACAAAUUGAAGAAUGAUUUGGACUUUGACAUAAGUUUUUGUCGCCUUUUCCUUUUAAAUGACACGACGCGUUUUGUCCAAAACGGCGCCGUUUAAUUCACUCUUCAUAAAAAAAACCCGAAACGGUGUUGUUUUGAACAGUACUCCAGACUUUCUUCUUCCCUUAGACGUGAAGAGAAACAGGGGAAGGAAGUUGCGUUCCCCUGUAUUUUCACCGCCUUUCUUCCUCCUUUUAGUUCAAAAGGACGCCGACCAAGGACCCCCCACUUACCCAAAAUUUUCCACGUGUUGGGGGGGCGGUGGAGGGGCGGCAGCACAGUGGCCGCCCUGUCCUCUUUCUCCCUUGUUUUUUUGCCUAUAAAAACAAGAGAAGAGAGAGCAAAAUGGAGGGACAACGAGAAAGAGAGGAGAGGAGAAGAGAGAGAGCAGAAUAGAGGGGGACUACCGAAAGAAAAAAAGAAAAAAGAAAAAGAAGCAGAGAAGAGAACAAAAAACAGAGAGAGAGAGAGAAGAAGAAAAAACAGAGCCAACGCCGACCAUCAUGAACCGCCAGCGUAGCUGCCUAUAGCCUCCAACAGCUCCGCCAACGAUAGCAGCCACCGUAGGUCAGCCCUUCUCCCUUUCUUUUUUCUCCUGCUUCAUCCCUGACACGCCUCCACUAUUCACGUAGCAUGUGAACAGUGGAGGACACUGUUCACACAGGCUAGGCUGAUCCCUUGUUUUCUAAUCCUACAUGGUUUUGUCAAAUUAUGGGUGCUCUUCAAUAUCUCACAUUUACGAGACCAUAUAUCUGCUUUGUUGUUAACAGAGCCUGUUAGUUUAUGCAUGCUCCUACAGAUUUUUAUAGGGGUGCCGUUAAACAAAUUUUGCGUUAUCUACGGGGUACGACCACCUAUGGCUUACAUAUCACUCAUAAUUCCUCCUUUGCUCUAUAUGGCUUUACAUAUGCAGAUUAAGUAAGUAGUAUUGAUUAUCGCAAAUCUACGAGUGGUUAUCUUGUCUUCUUUGGUCAGACGUUGAUUUCAUGGAAAUCAAGCAAGCAACGCAUAGUUGCUCGCUCCUCCACCGAGGGUGAGUAUAAAGCCUUGACAGAUGGUACUGCUGAGGCUAUCUGGCUUCAGUAUCUAUUGAGAGAUCUGCAGAUUCAUUCUACCUUUACUCCUACUAUUUUGUGUGAUAAUCUAGGCGCUACUUAUUAUCUGCAAAUCUUAUCUUUCAUGCUCGUAUUAAACAUGUUGAGGUUGACUAUCAUUUUGUACAAGACAGGGUUGCGAAGAAAGAGAUUCAAAUUCACUUUAUCUCCUCUUAUGAUCAACUUGCAUAUGUUUUUACUAAGCCGCUUCCUACUGUUCUGUUUACUGCUUUUCAAUUCAAGCUUUAGGUUGAUCCUCCACCCUCUCAUGUUGUAAUAUCUACCAUUACUAUUGUAUAUUACCCUACACAUAUAUAUAGAAAAGGUUGGCUAACCAAUAGGUUAAGCCUCCUAAUUAUUCUCAACUUGGUGGUUAGUGAAAAAAAAAAGAAAUUUCAGCUUGUUAUGACUACUGGAGACAUCGUGGGUGACUAAAGCUACUAGUAAUGAUAGGGUUGUCGCUGCCAGCAUUGAUGGUGACCAUUUGGUGAUGACAGUGAAAUGGGCGAUGGGUUUGUGUUUGAUGUUGGGAGGAGCAUCAUUUUUGGAGAAGAGAUAAGGGAUUCAAAAGAGUGAGGGAAAUAGGGGUUGGUUGGUGUCGAGGUUUAUGGUGGUUACAGAGGUUGCUAGGUUAUCGAUAGAAAGGCUGGGGGAGUGAGACUAGUUUGGGUUGGUGCUAGUCUAAAAGGAAAGAAGAAAAGGCAGUGAGUCCAAGGAAGAAGGUAAUCUUUGCUGGCUUCUAGGUUUCAGUAUAAUGGGGAUAGGUUUUUUUUUUUGUUUUUUUGGAUUGUGAGGAAGGAGUUAGGUGUAGGGGAGAAUGAAGAUGAUGAGUGUAUGGAAGAUGGAAUGGGUAGAUAUCACGUUUGUUUUUUCUUUCUUUUUUCUAGAGAGAGAAGGUUUGUUUCUACUUAUUUUUUGUUAGCCUCUUUAAAUAAUUCACUUCCUUUUUUUUUUUUGCUAAUGCUCUCUCCUUUUUUUUUGUGUAGUGUAACCAUCUAUUUAUAAGCAAAACAAGUUUGUUAUUUUAAAUCACUUGGUCUCCAAGCAAACUUGGUGACCAAGUUAACCCAAUAAUAAUCUGGUCCCUCAACUUCUUUCUUUUCACAUUUGUUCCUUUUGUUCAAUUUAUUUUUUUUUAUUUUAUUAUAUUUUGAUUUUUUUGAAAAAAAUCAAUAUCAAUGUCGACUUAAUAAGCGCGUUAACAUCUGAAUGCGUUGAAAGUAGAUUUGUUUUAUUUUAAAUUCUUUGAAAAAGACGCUGAAAAUUAUGCAAAUACUUCAAGAAUGCAUUUUUUAGUGUUUUAUUCAAAAUGGAGUAAAAAAUUGGGUAGCAACAAAUGCCCUCUCUUUACAAUACUUACAGAGAAAAGACUUGUUAAGUGCUUAGCGUAGUAAGUUUGUAAUGACAAAUGAAUUUUUCUUCCAAAACUAAUCUUCUCAAAGCUUUUAGUUUGGUUGAACUAGAACUCUAUUUUCGCAGCAAUCCCUUUCAACCAGAAAUUGUGUACAACUUGGUUAUCUUGAAAUCCUAAUCUGAUGAUUCCCUUUAUCCAAAAUCAAAAUUAUUACCAAAAGUUUGGUUAACCUGAGAUCCCAAUCUGGCAAUCCCUUUUAACUAGAAAAAAAAUCUGAAAAACAACUUGGCUAACCUAAAAUCCCAAUUUAGCGAUUCCUUUUAACCAGAACCAAAAUGUUACCUUCAACUCGGUUAACCUGAAUUCUAAUCUAGUAACCCCAUUUAACUAGACGAUUCCCUGUAACCAUAACAAAAAUGUUUUUUUCAGCUCAAUUAACCUGAAAUCUCAAUCAAGAGACCUCCUUUAACCCAAACCAAAAUGUCACCUUUAGCUUAGUUAAUCUGAAAUCUCAAUCUAUUAUUAUUAUUAUUAAUUUUCAUACACAAUUAUAUUUAUGAUUAUUAUAUGGUCAAUUUGUCUAUGUCAGAAUAGAAUCUGAGGCAACUUUUUGACCAAAAUUCCAUUCUCUAUUAUUCCUUCAAUAUUGGGGAUUAAUGCAAGCAACUCGUUUAUUCGGAUUUUGACCCAAAACUUUCUCGAUUAUUCGGAUUUCUUGUUUGGAUGAGGUGGUCAGGUUGCGUCACAUUGAUUAUGUCAUGUUACUGAAGUUAACUAGAGUAAGAAAUAAAGAUAUCAAGUAUCGAAGAGAAUCAAGAUCAGUUUAAGGAAAAAAUAAAAAAACAGAUUAUAAGGAAUCAGGUAUUAAAGAAUACAAGAUAUAUUGUUGGGAAUCUAUGAAGAUUUAACUUCCAUCAUUUUGUUGUCUUCCACAAUGAAUUUGGGUUAUCACAUGACAGACAUACUUGGAAACAUACCUAACUUGAAAGGAAUGGAUUGUUAAUGAUGAGGAUUCUUUUCACUAACAUUGUGUAUGAUAUGAAUCUCUACUACUAAAUGCAAUGAGAUGUGCUUUAACUUCCACCAUAUUUCAUUUUACUUCCUCAGCAUCCCACUGCCCUUGCCUUCUCUACAUAUUAAAAAGAUCCAUCUUCAAAUUAAGCUGAGAAGAUCCGGCAUGAGCUAAUUUUGUUGUUUUUCUUGAUUUUUCUAGAUUUCAUGUUUUAUUUUGAAUUUUUUGUUAUUUUCUAGGAUUCCAGUUUUAUUACCUAGUACGUCUAGGUUGAUCUCCUAGCCUAUCUAAAUAAAUUAUAAACCUUUAAAGAUGCAUACUAUAUUAGACUUUAUUACUUGGAGAAUAAAAACUUUGAAUUUAGGUUUUUUUUUACACUUUUUGAUCAAACUUUUUACGGGCUUUAUUGAAAAAACAAUAAGCAUUUUGACUUGAUUCUUGACUGGUAAAUUUUUUUGUUGUAUUUUUGGAGGUUUUGACGAAAACCGGGUAUUUUAAUACCAGAUUUGUAUUUUUUUCGAAAUGACAAACAAAAAAAAAAGACCGAGAUUAAACAAAACAGCGUAAAACAAUACACGCGGGGAAAUGGCAAAAUUAUAAACAUAUAUUUUUUUGCUGGGUCGGGCCCUGCCCACCAUUGUUGGGCUGUACCGGACUCAGCCCAAGAUCAAUGAGCCCAGCCCACAUCAGCUGGUUACGGUGCAUGAGCACAGUAACCAGCUUCACCUCGCCUGCAGAGACGUGCACCGCGCACGUCCUGCAUGUCGAGGGAAGAAACGAAAGCAAGAGGGGUGGAGGGUUUACCUGGAGAAGCCUUAGUCGUCAGUGAUGGCCAGAGGUGGCGGUGGUUCCAGGUAGCGGCGGUGUUGGUGGCAGCUCCUCCUCUGUUUUGUUCUUCUUCCUUUUUCUUUGUUUUUCUUCUCGUUUUUAUUUCUUCUCUCUUCCUCUCUCUGUUUUUUUUUUCUUUCUUACUCCUCUUCCUCUCUUCUGCUCUCUCUCUUCUCUUUCUGCUCUGCACUUUUUUUCUUCUUCUCCCCCUUGUCUCUUUGUCUCCCCUGUAUUUAUAGGAAAACAGGGGAGAGACAUGGCUGGGGCGGCCACUGUGUUGCCGCCCCAUGAUCGCUUGAGGAGGCACAUCUCCUCCGUUUCUCCAACACCCGGGAGGCCACGGGUCAGCUGAGCAAGAUAAAGUUUUUGGUCGGCGUCUUUUUGAAGGGGAAGGCGGUGGAAAACGCAGGGGAACAAAAGUUCCCUUCCCCUAUUUUCUGCACGUCCAAGGGAAGAAGAAGACGUAUGGUGUCGUUCAAAACAACACCAUUUUGGGUCUUUUUUUUUAAUGAACAAUGUAUGAAAUGGCGUCGUUUAGGACAAAACACGCCGUUUCAUUUAAAAGGAAAAGGCGGCAAAAACGUGUCAGAGUUCACAUUGGUCCUUAAUUUGUAAUUUGUUCAAUCAAGUCCUCAAUUACAUCCCUGCCAAAAAUCAUACAGCGGCCCUGAAGUUGGCUGCCUUUUUCACUUUGGUCCUUGAUGUUGAAUUUAUUCAAUUUGACCCUCAAUUGAUCAAUAAACUUCUAAUUUCUUCAAUUUCGCCCCUGAUUUGGUUUAAUUGCAGCCCCUCUAUUUACGCGCGUUUUUCAUUUUGGUCCUUGGUUUCGGAUUUCUUCAAUUAAGUCCCUAAUUGGCCAUCAAACUUCAAUAUUUAUGCAAUUAAGCCCCUGAUUUGACCAAAUUAACUCUCAAAAAUUAUAAUUUGACCCAGAACUUUCAUUUCUUCCAAUUAAAGCCUAGAUUAACUCCAAAAUCAAUUUUUCUUGCAAUGAAACCCUUCAUAAAUUCAAUUAAACCUUUAAUAAAAUUAAAUUAAGUCCAUAAACAUCUGAUUUUGGACGUUUCUUUCUCAAAUUGAAUUUUCUUCAUCAACAGGGCUCUCAUCGAUCAACGAUAUACUGUAAAAUUUCAAUCUUUGUAUUUUUGAACCUCCUCAACCAGUUUUUAACCAUUUUCUAAGCGUUCUGGCAUCCUCUUUUCACUGUUAUAUUUUUUUGAUAAUAUUUCUUUUUGUAUUUUUUGAAGAGAGAAAAAAUGUGAAUCGGGGAAUAACCCAAAAAUGGGUUAUGACAAGGACCAAACUGGAAAAGGCACGUGAAUAUAGGGGUUGAAAUUGACCAAAUCAGGGGCCAAAUUGAAGAAAUUGAAAGUUUGUUGAUCAAUUGAGGGUAAAAAUGCACAAAUUCAAAACCAAUGAUUAAAAUGAAAAAGGCGGCCAACUUUAUGGAUGACAUUUGAAUUUGGUAGGGAUGUAAUUGAAUUGAUUCCUAAAAUCAAAAUCUCAAUUAAGGACUUGAUUGAAUAAAUAAAAAAUUAAGGAUUGAUUUGGAAACAAGGACUUCUUAGGUGCCAUUUUCAUUUAAAUGAAACGACGUAUUUUGUACAAAAUGAUGUCGUUUCAUUCACUGUUAUUAAAAAAAAAAGAUGACAAAACUAAAAAACGAUGCCAUUUUGAUUGCACUAUACAUCUUCUUCUUCCCCUAGAUGCGCUGUAGGUAGGGGAAAAAGGUUUUUUUCCUCUCCUUUGCAGCGUCUCUAUCUCUCUCUCUAUUUCACUUGCCAAAAAACACCGACACAACCCACACCCCCUAUAGCCUACCAUCAAGAUGAAAAAACAGAGGGGACAAGCCUUGUGGGCGGCCCUAGGGUAGUUGCUUAGUAGCCACCCAACCACCCUACCCCUUUAGCAUGACUAGACAGGGGUAGGAUAGCUCUCUCUCCCCCUUCCCCUUAUAUAUACCCCCCUCACCAGGAGUAGGGGAGACGACAUAACAGAGAUGAAUAAAAGAGAAAAAAAGGAAGGAAAAAAAUGAAACAAAAGGAAAAAAAUAGAAAGAAAAAACAGGGGAAAACAAAGAGAGGAAAAGGAAGGGAAGAAAAAGAAAAACAGAGAGAAAAAAAGGAAAGAAAAGGGAGAAGAACACUCUUUGGUAUUACCUAUAAAGGAAAAGGAACUUCCCAGUUCCCUUUAAAUCUUUCUCCACCGACCAGCGAAACAGCUCCCCCAAUGCAUAGCCACCUCGGUUUGAAGAAGAACCAGCAGCUCCAGCUCCAGCUCCAGUAGGGAUGAACGCUGUCGCGCGCCACGGCUCAAUCGAAUGUAUUUAUUUAUAUAUUAUAAUAAUAAUAUAUACUACUAUAUAUGAAAUAAAAAAACAAGAAAUUCUAAAAAAAAACCUUUUGAAUUUUUUUGAUUUUCUCGUGUAUUUUUCUACCAAUUUUACUUAAUAUUGGUUUGUAUUUUUACACGGUAAAGAUACAAAUUCAGUAUUAAAAUACUUGAUUUUCUCUGAAAUGUUGCAAAAAAAAUAUAGAGAACAAAAAAAUAUAUCUUGUUUUCAUGCAUACGACCAUGUGUCUAAAAAAUGUAAAAAAUUCAUAUCAUAUUUUCAUACAAAAAUUUCAAGAAAAAGGUAUGUGUUAGCAUGCAUUUUGAACUUUAAUAACCAAUUUAUUAAAGCGAUGAGAACUAGGCCCAUAUUUCAAAAAUACCAAAAAACUAUUUUGUUUUCUUUUAGUAUAUGAGAUUAUUUUGUUUUCUUUUAGUUCUUUUUUUAUAUAAACAUUAGAACGAUUAGGUUUUUACCUGAUAUGAUGAGGAUAUCUUUAUCGAUGAGGACUUUUCUUAAACCUUAGACAAACCAACAAUUAGAAAACACAACAAUACUUUAGUUAUAUCAGACAAUUAAACAAUAUAGCUUACCUCAGGUAAGGCAUUUUAGGGGUGUUAAUACCUUCCCUUUACGCAACCAGACCAGUUAGGGUUCGUAAUGACCAAAAUACUAGGUGACGACUGUCAUUCUCUCUUUCCACUAAUAAAGGACAAGAUUGUCCUGUCCAUUUCCCCAUCCCAUUCUCAACUCCUGGAGGACGAUUGCUGCGACACCGCACCACGUGCGACAGUAGUUUUGAAAGAUUAAUGCAAGCGGAAGAACCACAAUAUAGCUGCAAGCAUAGAAAGACAGAAAGAUAGACUGGAAUUUGUUGCGAUGUCGCAGUCGCACAAAUUAAUUACCCUAGCUUAAAACACAACACACAAGAUAGUAUAGAGCAAGCAAGGGGUCAAUCCCACGUGGAAGGUUCAAGUCAGAUUUUUAUGCUAGAUGAUAUGCAAUUUAAGGGGGUUUGGACGUUAUCUAGGCUAAAGGAAAAGAAAACAGAAAACUAUCAAGCAAAAUUAAAUAAAAUCAGAAAAUUAUCAAGAGAACAAACCUUGGUUGCAUGUAAACAUCCACCUAUGGAAAUCAGAAUUGAUCAUGGAAACGAAACAUCAAUUUAUAUUCUGAAUAUUUAUCUCUUCUUAACAUUGGUUAGUUAACGGAUCCACCGUAUAACUAACCCUAACCAUCAAACAACCAUAGUGUCCACACUAGUAAUUUAAUUCAAUGGCAGACUUAAGAACUAGAUAAGUUGAUUAAUCAAGAAAACAUAUAUAAAUGUUCGCAGUCUAUGUUUGAUUUGAUUGAAUGUUCUCCCUAAGAUUAAUAACGUAGAUCUGCCACAAUUAUUAAACUCAGUUGCUUCAGAAGUUCAUAUACCACAACUCCGGUUUUGAUAUCAAACUUAGCAAUAGAUUGUCUACAAUAAUAACUUAGAGUUCGCUCUAGCAAUUAAAAUAAACAAUCAUAGGAAAAAUAAGCAUAGGAGAACAAACAUAUUCAUCAUAUAAACUGAAAAGAAAAGGUAAAAUAAAUCUCACAAUUCUUGAAAUCCGAAGGUUUUCGUGUCCUUGCAACUAAGAAAACUAGUUUAGCCUUGCAUGUUUGUUGAACAACUAAUAAAAAAAAGGACGGAUGCAUGAUUUCAGGUUUCUUAGAGGAAGGCGGUGUUUUUCUCUUCUUCGCUGGCUGCCCCCCUACUCUUCUCUCAUUCUUUUUAUACCCUAGGAAACCCUAGUCUUUAUUUUACAAAAUAGUCCUCCUUUAAGUAGACAGUUUACAUUUAAGUACUUCAAUAACUAUUUUCCUAAAAAAAGGAGAAAUAGCCUUGCAUGAAAUCUUCAAGCUUUGACUUAGAGGAGAUAAAUUGCUGAAAUAAAAACUUGGAUGUCGGUUUAGAUGCUUUGGAACAUAAUUUGGACUCGUUUCUUCACGAAACCUAUUUGCUGGCAGAAUUCAGUUGUCAUCUUUGAAAAAUCAUAUCUCCCUAAUAUGACAUCGUUUUCUGCUACAAUUUGGUGCGUUGAUACGUCUUUUAGUCAGAAAUCGAAAAAAAUUGAGUUUGCAUCAAUUUGGACUUCUGUAGCUCCAGAUAUUCAAGUUCGAAUGGAUAAAGGUCAACAUUGGCAAAUUGCGAGAUUUGACUUUGAAGGCUGUGAUUUCCAUGCUCUUCCUUAUUUUAUUUUCUUGCCUUAUAGGUCCAGAAAGAUAUGGAUGUUAUCUUUUUAUUGUCACUAGAAUCACUUCAUUUCGACUGCUAUAGCUCACGCACUGCACAAAACAUCGACUGAAAGUCUAAUCUGCCAAUUACCUCCAAUUUACUCCUUUUUGCAUCUUUCAUCCAAAAGUGCCUUCAAAACAUAAAACAAAGAAUAUCAAGGCAUUUUAUAUAUAAAACAUAAGCAAAACACUAGUUAAAUGUGGGUGAAACUAUCGAAUAAUAUGGUUACAUCAGAAUUAUGUUAACUGUGUACUUAAAGGAGGACUAUUUUAUUUAUAAAAUAUUAAUUGGAUCAAGUCUACCUCCUAAAGAGGUUUACAAUCCCUUUUAUAGAAUAGAAAAUCAACCAAGAUUGGAAACAAAAUCAGAAUCCCAAAACAUAAUAAGAAAUAACAUAAAAUAUGAAAAGAAACAAUAAAUCUAUGAAAAUUAAGGAAAAAUAACAAAAUUAUCCCAAAUAAUAACUUAUGAGCUUGAUUUUUGGAGAUCCAAUGCUCUGAUAACUACUGAGUGGUUUUUAAUGGGAAAACAACUUGUAGAAUCUCUUGUAAAAAUUUGCACCCAAUCCUACGGUUAGAUCUCUUGUUAUCGUCAUUUUAGGCCGCUACUCUCUGGUCUUGCGUGACCAUGCUUUCUAUUGAGUCUAAACAUGUGUCACUAGUUUAUGAAAAUAUAUGUUAGACCAUCUAUAUAGUCUGUUUAGGGCAAAUACAUAAUUAAUUUGCUGUUCAAAUGCUCUAAAGCUCUUCAAGGUGUGAUUUAACUAAAUAAUUUUGAGUUUAGAAUUAUCUUCUCAUUUUGGAAUUGUCCUGAGCCACAAGGAUAAAAUGAUGAGUCGUGGGGAGCUUCUUAGAUUGUUGUCCUGCAAGCAAGAGUAUAUGACUUUACUAUAUUACUAUAAAUAGCAUAUUUGCUGUUGUAACCCAUUUUUGGGUCCCCACAAAAUAUAUAUAUAAAAAAUAUAUAUCUAGCCAAAGGAGGUUAGAAAAAUAACAGGAGGUAGAAGCGUUCAGAAAAUGGUCGGAAAAUUGGUCAAUGAGGUUAAAAAUACAAAGAUUGGAUUUUUGACAGUAUAUUCUUGAAGGAGGAGAGCCCUGUUGGAAGAAGAAAAUUUAAUUUGAAGAGAAGGCCAAAAUUGGAUAUUUAUGGACUCAAUUGGAUUUUAUUGAAGGUUUAGUUGAAUUUAUAGAGGUUUUGAUUGCAAGGAAAAUUGAUUUUUAAGUCAAUUUAGGCCUUAAUUGGAAGAAAUUUAAGUUCUGGGGCCAAAAUAUAUUUGUUAGGAAUUUAUUAGGCCAAAUCAGGGGCUUAAUUGCAUAAAUAUUGAAGUUUAAGGGCCAAUUGGGGACUUAAUUGAGAAAAUCCAAAACCAGGGACCAAAUUGGAAGAGGCGCGUAAAUGGAGGGGCUGCAAUUAAUUGAUUCAGGGGCUUAAUUGAAGAAUUUGGAAGUUUAUUGAUCAAUUAAGGGUUCAAUUGCAUAAAUCAGAGACCAAGGACUAAAGUGAAACACGCGGCCAACAAGAGGGGCAGAGACCGAAAUUGGCAGGGAUGCAAUUGAAGAAAAAAAGAUAAUUGAGGGCUGCCUUGCAAAUUGACGCGUUUUGGCGUUUUGCAGGACUUAAAUGAAACGGCGCGUUUUGCCUAAAACGACGCCGUUUCAUGUGAAAAAAAAAAAAAAAAAGACCGGAACGGUGUCGUUUUGAACGACACUGUUCAUCUUUCUUCCUCCCCUGGACGUGCAGCAGGGGAAGAAAGAAAAAUGGUGGGUUUUUUUUUUCUUCAAGUGUGCUGCCUCUCUCUUGACCGCAUGCCUUGCCAGAAAACCGAGGGAGCCGCACCUCGCCAGCCACGCCCGCUGGCCGACCACCCGCCGCGCGCCUACCCGAAAAACAGGGAGCGGAACCUCGACAGCUGCACCCAAAUGGCCGACCAACCGCCGCAGCCCUUGUUCCCCAUGUGCAACCAUAAAAAGCCCCGCCCCUUGGCUCUAUAAAUAGAGGGAAGAACACUGAAGGAGAGAAGAGAAAACAGAGGAGAGAGGGGGGAAAGAGACCCGAAAGAGAGAGAACCGAAGAGAGAAAGGAAAAGCUAAAAAGAAAGGAGAAAAAACCAAAGAGAGGAGGGAACGAAUCGAAAAGGAGAGGACCCGAAAUAUAAGAGGGGAAAGCUAGAAACGGAGGGAAAAACUUGAAAAAAACAGUAACACUGCCGUUCGGUUGAGACAGCAGCACCACUGCCGCCGUUCGUGAGCCACCGGCCUCCGCCACAGCACCGCCUCCGGCAGCAACAGUACCACCAGCUCCACCGCCUCCUCCGCGCCAGGUAAUUCUUCUUCCUCCCUUCAUUACUGCAUUUUUUUUUCGUUCCUGCAUGCAGAACGAAUAACGUUCUGCAUGCAGAAGGGUGGGGGGAAAAUAAUUCCCCCCGCCAGCGUUUGUUGCUGGGCCAGGCUGGUCCUGGCCCAGCCCAGUCUUCUGGGCCGGGUCUGGCCCAGAAGAGGAUAAUAGUAUUUGGGCCGAAAUCGGCCCAAUCCAUUUUUUGGGCCGAGAUCGGCCCAACACUUUUGGGGCUGAGUCCGGCCCAGUUGUUUGGGCCGGCCCAGCCCGAUUUAAUAUUAUAUAUUAUAUAUAUUAUAUUUUGUAUUACUUAUAUAUAUAUGUGAAAAAUUACAAAAAUUACACAAAAAAAUUAUUUAAAAAAUAUGUGAUUUUGUUGUAAUUUUAUUACAGUAUUUUGAUUAAUAUUGGUUGGUAUUUUUAUACUCUAAAGAUACAAAAUCCAGUUUUAAAAUACCCGGUUUUCAUCAAAACAUCAAAGAUUUUCAAAAUAAAAAAUGUCUUUUGCUUUCAAAAAAUUUCUAAAAAUAUCUUUAAAAAUAUUGUUGAUUUUUCUGCAUUUGUUUUAUCAAAGUGGAUUAAUAUUUGGUUGUAUUUUUAUACUGUAAGAAUACAAACCCAGUAUUAAAAUACCCGGUUUUCGUCAAGACAUAAAAAAUAAAAUAAGUUAAAAAUGUUUUGUUUUCGUGCAUACGGCCUAGUCUCUCUAACAUAUAUAUAUAAAUAUUAUAACAUCAUAUUUUCACACAACAAAAGAAAUUUCAAAAAAAAAAUAUAUGUAUUAGCAUGCAUUUUGGCUUUAAUAACCAGUUUAUUCGAGCCAUGAGAACUAGGCCAAUAUUUCAAAAAUUCUAAAAAAAUCUUUUUGUCCUCUUUUAGUACAUGGGAUUACAAAUUUAAACAUAAAAUGUUUUCCUGAUAUUAAAAAUAUAGUUUUUUCACAUAGACGUUAGAACGGUUAGGUUUUACCCGAUAAGAUAAGGACCUCCUUAUUGAGGAGGACUUUUCUUGAACCAUAGACGGACCAACAUACAUAGAUGUUAGAACGGUUAGGUUUUACCCGAUAAGAUAAGGACCUCCUUAUUGAGGAGGACUUUUCUUGAACCAUAGACGGACCAACAUACAUAGAUGUUAGAACAGUUAGGUUUUACCUGAUAAGAUAAGGACCUCCUUAUUGAGGAGGACUUUUCUUGAACCAUAGACGGACCAACAACUAGGAAACACAACGAGACCUUGAAUUUUAUCAGACAAAUAAACAAUGCAGCUUACCUUAGGUAGGGCGUAUUUGGGGUGCUAAUACCUUCCCUUUACGCAACCAGUCCCCGUGCCCAAUCUCUGAGACCAGUUAGGGUUCCUAGUGACCAAAAUACUAGGUGGCGACUCCCACACCAUUUUUCACUGCUAAGAGACAAAGAACUCCUUGUCUCACCAUAUUGACCAGAUAUAUAUCCCCCCACCAUACACAUUCGAGGGUGGACGAUCGCCGCGACGUCGCGCACGUGCGACAGAAUGGCGACUCCACUGGGGACCUUGUGGACUAAGCUUUGUUUUUGUCUGAUUUGUUUUUGUUUUUGUGUGUUUAUUGUUAAUAUGCCUUUCCUUUUGUUAUCUGCUUAUAUGCUUUAAAUAUUUUUACACAUAUUGUUCAUGCAUUUGUAUAGAACUGUCUCAUACAUCUUAUAGAACUGUCUCAUGCAUCACAUACUUUGAUUAUUGAGAGCACACGCAAACUUUAAGUUAAGUGGGGGACUAGCAGCUUACCUUACGACUGUUAGUCAAGGUUUAAGUUUGUGUAAACCCCAACUCUUCGCUGAGUGCUUAGACUGGCAAUAGUUGGUACAUGUGCCAUCUUAUUGCCUACAAGCCCCCAUAUUGCCUCCACGAGGGCAAUCACUGGGACAGCAAGAGACCUUUUUUAGAGACUGAAUAGCCAACCUACCCUCGUCAAGCACGAAAGAUUUAGAACCGGCUAUAGGGUGUAUGUUCCAUAAAGUACAUUUUGCAUAAAACAACCUAAACCAUAAAGUAUUUGGUUUUCAGGUCUUUUGAAACGAUAAGAUGGCCAUCAUUACCAAAUUUACUACUAUGGAAUAUGGGCAGAAUUCUGAAUUGUCAGAGGGAGACUGCUCUAGAUAUGAUGCGAGGAAGCUUCCAGUAGUCAAAGACCUGAAUUGCACAGUAUAUGAGAUGAAGAAAAUAUUGGGCCAUAAUCAGAACAUUGAUGAAGCGGCAUUUUGCGGGAAGUAUGGGCGAUUGUUGGAAAUUGCAAAGAUAGAAGUAUUGAACCCGGCAAUCAAAGCUUUGAUUAACUUUUGGGAUCCCGAUUACAGAUGCUUUUCCUUUGGAAAUGUGGAUUUGUGUCCCACUAUAGAGGAGUAUGGAAUGUUGACGGAAUUUCCCAAACUCCUACACAGGGUUUAUUUUCCUUUGAGAAAUGACAAGGUGAUUCCUGAGUUGUCAACAUUGUUGAAGAUUCCACAUCUGAGCAGAUUUUUAGAGAAGAAUGGUAGCGGUUUAAAGUGGAAAUUUCUGGAGGUUGAACUAGAAAAGAAAAAAGAGCAAUACGGGUCAAUGUUAGAAAGAGACAGGUUAAUCGCUCUGGGGAUCUAUGGGCUCGUAUUAUUUCCAAGCUUAAUAGGGAUUAUAAGCCUAGAAGCUGCUGCUGCAUUCGUGGAAUAUGAAAAUACUCAUGUCAACCCCACAACUGCCAUAUUAGCUGAGACCUUUCUGACCCUCAAUCAUUUUAGAAAGACGGGGAAAGGCGCAGUGCGAUGUUGUACUCAGUUGUUAUAUAUCUGGAUGGUAAGCCAUGUUGAAACCAAGAAGCCGAUCUUUAAUAAUUUUUGGUGGUUUAACCAAAAACCCUUGAAGAUAAUGGAGGAAGAAGAAUGGGGAAUCCUAGGUGAUCAAGGUUGGAUGAAAAAACUGCAAGAAUUACCUAGUAGCAACUUUAGUUGGAAGGCCCCUUGGGUUAAAUCAGUUGAUGUCAUAGUAAGUUGUGGACAAAAAUGCUGGGUACCUUUAAUUGGGAUCACAGGUUAUGUCAGCUAUGCUCCGGCUCUGGUGAUAAGACAAUUAGGUGGCAUACAACACAUCCCAAGAACUGUGGGACUUGCUGAAUUUUCCGGAUUUUUCAAGGAUCAAUCCGCGCGAGAAGUUCUUGAAACCAUCAAACAAGAUUGGAGCCAGUUGACUCUAAUUCAAAAGGAGUCGGAAAGAUUGAGAGACCCUAGCUCAAGUGAAGGAUAUGAAAAGUGGAGGAAUUUGACCCCGAUUGCCACUCCAAAAAAGCCAUGUCCUGAAGAUGGGCCUUCACGAAUGGAAGAAGGGUCAUUGAAAAGAAAAAAGGUCAGUAAUGAGGAAGACCUUAGGGAGCAAUUAGAAAGGCUCCAAAUAGAAUUGGGAAAGAGUAAGGGAGAUAAAGCAGCAUUAGAAAGGAUGAUGAUGGAAGGAGAUAAAAGCAGAGUGUUUUUAAAUGAACAGCUCGAAUCCAGAGAUGCGAAAAUAGUGAUGUUAGAGCUGCAAUUGAGCAAGGGAAAGGCUGUAAUAGAAGAGUCCGAGAAAGAAAGAGGAAGAUUGAUUUUUGAUUGUAUGCAAAGCAGUUCGGAGUUGGAAGCAUUGAAAGCCGACUUCGAUGGCUAUCGAGAGAAUGUUGAGUACAAUCAGGACAAAUUCUUGCAUGUUCAAGCAGAGUUGCUGGACCGAAUUGAGAAGUAUGAAGAGUUAAACAAGAAAUAUAUGAUGAUAGAAAGUCGGCUAGCUGAAUUGCAAGAGUUCGAAAGAAAAGGGAAGGAAGAGGAGGUUUUUAAAGCAGAUUUGGCAGCUAAGAAAAUUGAAAUUAGGACGCUGAAGUUGAAGUUUGACAAAGCACGAGAAAAGGUGAAACAGUUGACCCAAAGGUUGGAAGUUUCAGAAAAACAUAAAGAACAGAUCGACACCAACAACAAUACCUUGAAUCGGAACAACAUGUUGCUUAUAGAGAAGAUGGCCAAAGUAGAUGAGCAAAUGGAUGAAGCUGCCAUUCACGCACGGAUUAUUAGAGCCAAUGCUCGAAGGGUGGGAAGGGACAUCUUUCGUUAUCGACAAAGCUUGGCUGAGACAGAUGCCUUCUUAGAGAAGAUUGAGAAUCGAGGCCUCACUUUCCUACCAGUGGCUAGAAAUACGGAUGAAGAGGAAGAUUGAUGUAUUUUUCUUUUUAUUAUUUUGUACCCUCUUUUCAAGAGAUGUAUUAGCCAAUAUUAAUGAAAAGGGCCUUUGACCCAUCUUUUGUAAAAAAAUAUAAGCCUACCAAAGCAACAGCUUGAGCAAAACUACUCCUGAUAAGGAACGUGACAAAAGGAGUCCAUGUCCAUUACACAAGAGGAAUGUUGGCCAUCGAUCGUUUUUUUUUUGAAAAAAAAAAAAAAAAAAAAGCUCAUGCAUCCAUGCAUUGUUUCUUUAUCAUACAUUCAUUUACAUUUUUCCAUGCAUCCCAGACCGUGAAACAUAGGUCCCACAUCCAAAGUCCACAACACCCGGUCUAGAGCGAGAAUGGAGAACGAAGAGAGAGCUCACUUGGAGUCACAUUAUCAGACCGAGUUGGAGUCCGUAAAGAAUGAAGUUUCUCGGCUAACCAACUUACUUGAGCAGCUUCUAAGAGCUAAAAAUGGGGAGGGAACAUCAGCACAACAGCCUGAAGGAGCGCCAGCAGCUCACAUCCCUCAAGCAUCUCAAAACCAGGGGGCAAACUCGGCCAAUGAACAACAUUUUGUGCCUAUCACCCCUGUCCCGCCAACUCACGCUCCAAUCACUGUGGAUUUAACAACGGAGGGAGUCCCAGAAAAUAGGUCUCCCAGUGUGAUGGACCAAGACAAGCUAUUUGCUCUGGAAGAAAGAUUAAGGGUCGUUGAGGGUAAUGAUUGGUUUGACCCUAUGCGAGCAGCCGAAGUAUGUUUGGUACCAAACAUUGUGGUGCCAAAGGAUUUUCGAAUACCAGAGUUCGUUAAGUAUACCGGUUUGGAAUGCCCAAACACUCACCUGCGAUCCUAUUGUAACAAAAUGGCGGAAGUAAUCCGUGAUGAUAAGUUGCUAAUCUAUUUCUUUCAAGAUAGCCUAGCAGGAUCCGCUUUAAGCUGGUACAUGAGGUUAGACAGCAUCAGGAUCAAGAGCUGGAGAGACUUGGUGGAGGCUUUCCUCAAACAGUACAAGUUUAACAUGGAAAUCGCUCCUGAUCGAACAAGUCUAAUGGCAAUGGAGAAAAGGAGCCAGGAGUCAGUAAGGGCUUAUGCGCAAAGAUGGAGGGAUGAGGCAAUGCAUGUCCAACCCCCUUUGAUAGAAACGGAGAUGGUGAGCUUGUUUGCCAAUACCUUCAAAGCACCUUAUUAUGAGCACCUAAUGGGUAGCUCCUCUCAACAUUUUUAUGAUGCGGUACGCAUAGCUGAAAGGAUAGAACAAGGGAUUAAAGUUGGGCGAAUAGCGAUGCCAGUGGAAAAGAAGGGUUUUAUUGGAAGAAAGAGAGAAGGCGAUGUUAACAAUCUGGAAGGUGGGUACAAGGGCAAGAGAGUAGAUUUUCAUAAUCCUCAAGUACCUACCUCUCAAUUCUCACGCAUAAACUUUAACCAACCUUUUUCCCCUAAUCGAACAAAUAACCAGUCAAACUACCAAAAUCACUACCAAAGACCCCAUACAAAAUACACUUCAGAACAACUGCCACCGUUACCCAUGCCUUUGAAGGACAUGUAUGCCAAACUGUUGAGCAUUGGACAAAUAGCUCCUAUCCCUACACUACCACUACAACCACCAUUCCCAAUUUGGUACAAGCCCGAGUUGGCUUGCGAGUACCAUGGGGGUAAUCCCAGGCAUGGGAUUGAAACCUGUUACGCUUUCAAGAAGAGGCUAUUGGAGCUUAUUAAGAUGGGAUGGGUAUCCUUUGAAGACAAGCCCAAUGUUAAUUCAAACCCAUUGCCUAAGCAUGCCCCAAAUAGUAGUGGAGUAGGCAUGAUCGAAGUGGGAAAUCAAUGUAAGGUAUUGAAGGUAUCCAUGAAGAAGUUGUAUGACAUGUUGGUACAAUCAGGAUUUCUAAAGACAAAGGGGGAGAGCCGUUUGGAGGGAUAUGAUUACUGUGAAUACCAUGGAAGAGAUGGACAUCAUAUUGAGGAUUGCAUCGAGUUUUGCGAAAAGAUUGCGAAAAUGCUAAAAAUAGGGGAGUUGAGGAUUGAACCCAUGAAAAGCAGCGGUGAGGUGAGUAUGAUGGAAGGUCAAGAUGAGAUGACAGGAGUAUGUAGGAUCCAACAAACAGCUAAGGGGCCACCAAGGCUAAUCUUGGUCAAACCUUCUUGCACAAAAGGAAACCACAAUGCCAUGCAUUACAAUUACGACUAUACCUCCAACGUUCAAACUCCACUUCCCUUGUUCCAAACCGAGAUUAGUGGUUUGACUCGGAGUGGUCGUUGCUUUACGCCCGAGGAGUUGAGAAAGGCAAAGGGCAAAGAAGUGGUAGAUCUUGACAAAGCACUAGAAGUUAAUAAGCCAGUAACAGAAGAGGAGUCGAAUGAAUUCCUGAAGUUGAUCAAGCAUAGUGAAUAUUGCAUAGUAGAUCAACUAAAGAAGACUCCAGCUAGGAUCUCCCUUAUGUCCCUGAUACUCAGCUCUGAGCCACAUCGAAACGCCUUGCAGAAGGUAUUGAAUGAGGCAUAUGUACCCCAAGACAUUGAACAUAAAACCAUGGAGCAUCUAGUGGGAAGGAUCCAUGCAACUAAUUACCUGUACUUCACGGCUGAUGAGCUUGAUGCUGAAGGUACCGGACAUAACAAGCCCUUAUACAUUACGGUUAGGUGCAAGGACUGCCUCAUAGGAAAAGUACUCAUUGAUAACGGCUCGGCCCUUAACGUGUUGCCAAAGCACAUGCUGGAAGAAAUGCCGAUCGAUGAAUCCCAUAUAAAGCCAAGUACUAUGAUGGCCAGAGCGUAUGAUGGCUCGCCUAGGCCAAUAAUUGGGACUUUAGAAGUGGAGCUAUGUGUGGGACCACAAAUGUUCUUAGUAACACUUCAGGUUAUGGAUAUCCACCCUUCCUAUAGUCUGUUGUUAGGAAGACCUUGGAUUCAUGCAGCGGGGGCAGUAGCUUCGUCAUUGCAUCAAUGCCUGAAGUAUAUCAUGAAUGGGAUGUUGGUAACUGUCAAGGCUGAGGAGACAGUAUCCAUGAUAAAGAAUGUGGUUGUGCCUUUUAUCGAAGCGAAUGAUUGCAAGGAUAACAAUAUCCAUACCUUUGAGAUUGUGAACACUGACUGGGUGCCGGAGAACACAGUGCUAAGAAGGCCAAGGAUCUCAGAAGCAGCAAGGAUGGCAAGUCUAUGCUUCUUGAACCGCGGGAUCCCAUUUCAGUAUAACCUUAUUAUCGGGAUACCAGAAGGGGUUAAUCUGGCAAGGAUGAAAAGUGCUGCUCAAAGAUUUGGGUUAGGGUACCAACCUAACCAAAAGGAUUAUCGGUGGGCUGCUGGUCGGAGAAGGGCAAGAAGGAUGGCUAGAAUUAAAGGAAGAGAGCCUGAUGAAGAAAAGCUGGAAAUCCCUCCCCUUAGCGUGUCAUUCCCAAAAGCCACAUACAUAAUGCAACAUGAUAAAGGAGUUGAAAGCCUUGGUCAAGAACUGUCAAACAUGGGCAUAAAUACCUUGGGGGAAAACAAGGUGGAAGGAGAUGACAUGAAGACCGUAGCAAGAAAGGGAGAUGAAGCACUCCCACAACUGACGGUAUACACCAUAGAAGAAGUCUCCGCCAAGACCUUUGUGCGCAAGUUGGCUCAGGACGAGAAGUUUCAGAACUGGGUGACCCAAGAAGCUCCAGUGGUUUUCAAAAUGUAAACCAACUUUGUUUGCCUUAGCAUGCUUUUGUCAUUGCUUAUGUUUGCUGUUAUUUCCUCUAGUUGACAAUCGAGGCUCAUGAUGUCAGCUAGAUUUUAUGUUUGUCAUGGAGCCCACUUUUUCUUUAAAUAAAUUGUGAGAUCAUGCACUUUCCACAAAUUGCCUUCUUUUUUAUGCACCAAACACUUCCCGCUUUCAGGAAUCCUGAAAGCGGAUCUCCUACAACAUCACAUAUAUUUAGCAUCAAGAAUAAAUGGCCAAACUUGAACGAGCAUGUGAUAGCUAUGGAAGAAGAAGAAUGGGAUGAAAGCAAUAUUAGUGAAUUCACCAGGCUAGUAGAACAACAGGAACAGACUUGGAAGCCUAUCGCCGAGGAACUCGAAACCAUCAAUGUGGGUAGUGAUCAGCUCAAGAAAGAGUUGAAAAUAGGUACCUUAAUUACUUCUGAACAAAGGAUAAAAAUGAUCACCCUAUUACAAGAAUAUUCAGAUGUCUUUGCUUGGUCCUAUGAAGAUAUGCCGGGUUUGGAUACAAAUAUUGUAGUACACAAGAUACCGUUGGAAGAAGGUUGUAAGCCAGUCAAGCAGAAGCUGAGGAGGGCCCACCCAGAUGUCUGGAUCAAGGUCAAGGCAGAACUUGAGAAGCAAUGGGAUGCUGGCUUCCUAGAAGUAGUUAGAUAUCCACAAUGGGUAUCUAACGUUGUUGUGGUGCCUAAGAAGGAGGGGAAGAUUAGAGUUUGUGUGGAUUUUCGGAAUUUGAAUAGAGCUAGCCCUAAGGAUGAUUUUCCCCUACCACACAUAGAUGUUUUAGUGGAUAACACUGCCCGGAGUUCCACUUAUUCCUUUAUGGAUGGUUUUUCAGGAUACAACCAGAUAAAAAUGGCUCCGGAGGAUAAGGCGAAAACAACUUUUGUCACACCUUGGGGGACGUUCUGCUACAAGGUCAUGCCAUUUGGAUUGAAGAAUGCAGGAGCAACCUAUCAAAGAGCAAUGGUGACUUUGUUCCACGACAUGAUACACAAGGAAAUUGAGGUGUAUGUAGACGACAUGAUUGCCAAGUCUGAAAGGGGAGAGGAUCAUGUUGAAGUUUUGAGGAAGUUGUUUGAGAGGUUGAGGAAGUAUGAACUAAGGCUUAAUCCUGCAAAAUGUUCAUUCGGAGUUAAAUCGGGCAAGCUGUUAGGAUUUGUGGUAAGUGAUAGGGGUAUAGAGGUGGAUCCAGAUAAAGUAAGGGCCAUCCAAGCUAUGUCAUCCCCUAAGACGGAGAAAGAAGUAAGAGGAUUCUUGGGAAGGUUAAACUACAUUGCUCGGUUUAUAGCUCAGCUAACAACGACGUGUGAACCUAUAUUCCGACUACUAAGGAAAAAGAAUCCUGGAACCUGGAAUGAGGAGUGCGAGGAGGCAUUCAGUAAAAUCAAGCAAUAUUUACAAAAUCCACCUUUACUGGUUCCUCCGGUAUCAGGAAAACCUCUAGUACUAUAUCUAAUAGUAACUGAAGCAGCCAUGGGAUGUGUAUUGGGUCAGCAUGAUGAAACCGGAAGGAAGGAAAGAGCUAUUUAUUAUCUAAGCAAGAAAUUCACUGAAUGUGAGUCUAGAUACACGGAGAUAGAAAGGCUUUGUUGUGCGUUGGUGUGGGCGGCAAAGAGGUUGCGGCAUUAUAUGUUAUACUAUACCACUUGGUUGAUUUCAAAAGUGGAUCCUCUGAGGUACAUUUGUAACAAGCCAUUUCUCUCAAGUCGAAUUGCAAGGUGGCAAGUUCUAUUAGCAGAAUAUGACAUAGUAUACAUGACAAGGAAAGCCGUAAAAGGAAGUGCAAUCGCGGACCAUCUGGCCGAUAAUGCUGUUGAAGAUUACGAACCUUUGGAUUUUGACUUCCCCGAUGAAGAUAUAUUGUCAAUAGAGAAAGAAGAAGAAAAGACAGAUUGGUGGACGAUGUUUUUUGACGGUGCAGUGAAUGUAUAUGGUAACGGGGCCGGUGCGGUAAUAAUCUCUCCUGAUAAGAAACAGUAUCCAGUUUCGGUUAAACUACAUUUCGAGUGCACCAACAAUACAGCUGAGUAUGAAGCUUGUAUCCUCGGUUUAGAAGCGGCAUUAGAGUUGAAGAUAAAGAAGUUAGAUGUAUAUGGAGAUUCAAUGUUGAUUAUCUGUCAGGUUAAAGGGGAAUGGCAGACCAAGGAGGAAAAGUUGAGGCCGUACCAGGAAUACCUAUCCACGCUAGCAAAGGAAUUUGAAGAAAUUAGAUUCACUCAUUUGGGAAGGGAGGGGAACCAUUUCGCGGAUGCUUUGGCCACGCUAGCUGCUAUGACUACCAUUGAUCUCAAGUGCAAGAUACAACCGGUACACAUUGACAUUAGAAAUGACCCAGCUCACUGUUGCUUAGUUGAAGGAGAGAUAGACGGACAUCCUUGGUAUUAUGAUAUCAAGAACCUUGUGCAAAAUCACGAAUAUCCGGUGGGAGCUUCCAAAACGGAUAAGAAAACUUUGAGAAGGUUGGCUAUAGACUUCUAUUUAGAUGGAGAGAUUUUGUACAAAAGAUCAUUUGAUGGGACCCUACUAAGGUGUUUGAAUGAGGCAGAUGCUAGAAAGGCAUUACGGGAGGUCCAUGAGGGGAUUUGCUCAACCCAUGCUAGCGGGCAUAUGAUAGCGAGGAAAAUCCAAAGGGCUGGUUAUUUUUGGAUGACACUAGAGAAAGACUGUAUCGAUUAUGUCAGGAAAUGUCAUAAAUGUCAAGUUUACAGUGACAAGGUCAAUAUGCCACCAGCUCCUCUAUUUAAUCUAAUAUCCCCUUGGCCAUUUGCAAUGUGGGGAAUUGACGUGAUCGGGCCUGUUAACCCAAAAGCUAGCAAUGGUCAUAGAUUCAUCCUCGUAGCUAUUGACUACUUCACAAAAUGGGUAGAAGCUAGUUCAUAUGCCCACGUAACACAGAACGUAGUGAAGAGGUUUAUAGAGAAGGACUUGAUUUGUCGAUAUGGUCCACCUGAAAAGAUAGUGACAGAUAAUGCACAGAAUUUCAAUGGCAAAAUGAUAGCGGAGCUGUGUACUAAAUGGAAAAUCAAGCAUUCGAAUUCUUCACCAUACCGACCAAAGAUGAAUGGCGCAGUAGAAGCCGCCAACAAGAACAUCAAGAAGAUUAUUCAGAAAAUGGUAGUCACAUAUAGAGAUUGGCAUGAGAUGUUAUCAUUCGCUCUUCACGCAUACCGCACUACAGUCAGGACCUCGACAGGGACUACCCCAUAUUCUCUGGUAUACGGUAUGGAGGCAGUGAUGCCGUUGGAAGUGGAAAUCCCAUCGUUAAGAGUAUUAAUGGAUUCCGAACUAGAAGAGGCUGAAUGGGCCAAGGUGAGAUAUGAGCAACUGAACUUGAUCAGCGAAAAGAGGAUAGCUGCAAUAUGUCAUCACCAACUUUACCAGAAACGAAUGGCCAAGGCAUAUGAUAAGAAGGUUAGACCGCGAUUGUUUCGAGAAGGGGAUCUAGUAUUGAAGAAAAUAUUGUCACUACCUGGAGACGAUCAAAGCAAAUGGGCACCGAAUUACGAGAGUCCUUACGUAGUAAAGAAGGCAUUCUCAGGAGGAGCGCUGAAGUUAGCUAGAAUGGAUGGAGAAGACCUAGUUCGACCUGUGAAUUCUGACUCUGUAAAAAGAUAUUAUGCUUGAUGUAGACUCCUAAAUCAAUAAAGCAAAGUUUGGCCAUUGACUUCUUUCUCUUUUGCAUUGAUCUCCCAACAAUCAUUUUUUUGCAUUAAUCCCAACAGUGCAUGUCUUGUUAUCGCACCUAAAAAGUUUAGCAUCGGCUGAACGAAUUUCUUCUCUAUACAAAAGCCCAGACUAGGAGCACACCCCUACACUGGGGGGCAAUACGAGAUGUUUUCAUGAAAAGCUUUACGUGUUUAAAAUGUACGUAAGCCUAUAGAUUUGAAAACCAAGCUAGAGUAUUUGACAAAAGCAUGACAAAGAGGCAAUGACAAGUUAUACAUUUUGGAAAAAGGACCACUUGAAGAAUAUGAUAGGAGGCAACACGAGAGAGGAAUCCAACAUACGAUUUCAAAAAGCAAGCUUAUGUUAAGAGGGAGUCUCAUGAACUAGCAGAAGAGGAUGGGGCCUAUGUUUCAAAACCAGGUACGAAUGCAUGCAUGGCAUCUAAUCAUAAAUCAUUGCAUAUAUGUUUUUUCUGGAUCGUUACAGGAGGAGACCUUAAUGCAUUCCAACAAGAUUGGAGACGAAGAAAGAAUCAUAGAGGAUGAUAGCAAAGAAUCACGGUUUUGAACCAUAGUGGAUUAUGGAACAACGAGAAGAACAAGAAAAAGAGAGAAUGAAAAGUUUUGAACCCUGUCAUCAGGAAGAACGACAUCGAUAUCAGCUUUGGUAGUAAGGAAUCGCCAGAUGGGAUUCCAAGUUGUUUGAGAUCGCCAGAAAGGAUCUCGUGUUUCGCUAAUUGGAGGUCGCCAGAUGGGACCUCGUGUUACCUGUUGAACAAAAGGAAUCGCCAGAUGGGAUUCCAAGUUGAAUAAAGGAGAUCGCCAGAAGGGAUCUCGUGUUUCACUAUUUGGAGGUCGCCAGAUGGGACCUCGUAUUACCUUUUGAAUAAAAGGAAUCGCCAGAUGGGAUUCCAAGUUUGAGGAGAUCGCCAGAAGGGAUCUCGUAUUUCGCUAUUUGAAGGUCGCUAGAUGGGACCUCAUAUUUCAUGUUUGAACAAAAGGAAUCGCCAGAUGGGAUUCCAAGUUGAUUAAAAGAGAUCGCCAGAAGGGAUCUCGGGUUUCGCUAUUUGGAGGUCGCCAGAUGGGACCUCGUUUUUCAUGUUGAUUAAAAAAAGGAAUCGCCAGAUGGGAUUCCAAGUUGAGGAGGAUUGCUGUAAAAGACAAGUUUCAGAUCAAUCAAGCUUCAACCAAACCAGUUUCGGGAGUUCCGUUUUGGGUUUAUCUUUAUAAAACUUAUUGCGCAAAACCUCUGCUCCGUAAGCAUUAUAAAGAGGGGGCAUCUGUUGUAACCCAUUUUUGGGUCCCCACAAAAUAUAUAUAUAAAAAAUAUAUAUCUAGCCAAAGGAGGUUAGAAAAAUAACAGGAGGUAGAAGCGUUCAGAAAAUGGUCGGAAAAUUGGUCAAUGAGGUUAAAAAUACAAAGAUUGGAUUUUUGACAGUAUAUUCUUGAAGGAGGAGAGCCCUGUUGGAAGAAGAAAAUUUAAUUUGAAGAGAAGGCCAAAAUUGGAUAUUUAUGGACUCAAUUGGAUUUUAUUGAAGGUUUAGUUGAAUUUAUAGAGGUUUUGAUUGCAAGGAAAAUUGAUUUUUAAGUCAAUUUAGGCCUUAAUUGGAAGAAAUUUAAGUUCUGGGGCCAAAAUAUAUUUUUUAGGAAUUUAUUAGGCCAAAUCAGGGGCUUAAUUGCAUAAAUAUUGAAGUUUAAGGGCCAAUUGGGGACUUAAUUGAGAAAAUCCAAAACCAGGGACCAAAUUGGAAGAGGCGCGUAAAUGGAGGGGCUGCAAUUAAUUGAUUCAGGGGCUUAAUUGAAGAAUUUGGAAGUUUAUUGAUCAAUUAAGGGUUCAAUUGCAUAAAUCAGAGACCAAGGACUAAAGUGAAACACGCGGCCAACAAGAGGGGCAGAGACCGAAAUUGGCAGGGAUGCAAUUGAAGAAAAAAAGAUAAUUGAGGGCUGCCUUGCAAAUUGACGCGUUUUGGCGUUUUGCAGGACUUAAAUGAAACGGCGCGUUUUGCCUAAAACGACGUCGUUUCAUGUGGAAAAAAAAAAAAAAAAGACCGGAACGGUGUCGUUUUGAACGACACUGUUCCUCUUUCUUCCUCCCCUGGACGUGCAGCAGGGGAAGAAAGAAAAAUGGUGGGUUUUUUUUUUCUUCAAGUGUGCUGCCUCUCUCUUGACCGCAUGCCUUGCCAGAAAACCGAGGGAGCCGCACCUCGCCAGCCACGCCCGCUGGCCGACCACCCGCCGCGCGCCUACCCGAAAAACAGGGAGCGGAACCUCGACAGCUGCACCCAAAUGGCCGACCAACCGCCGCAGCCCUUGUUCCCCAUGUGCAACCAUAAAAAGCCCCGCCCCUUGGCUCUAUAAAUAGAGGGAAGAACACUGAAGGAGAGAAGAGAAAACAGAGGAGAGAGGGGGGAAAGAGACCCGAAAGAGAGAGAACCGAAGAGAGAAAGGAAAAGCUAAAAAGAAAGGAGAAAAAACCAAAGAGAGGAGGGAACGAAUCGAAAAGGAGAGGACCCGAAAUAUAAGAGGGGAAAGCUAGAAACGGAGGGAAAAACUUGAAAAAAACAGUAACACUGCCGUUCGGUUGAGACAGCAGCACCACUGCCGCCGUUCGUGAGCCACCGGCCUCCGCCACAGCACCGCCUCCGGCAGCAACAGUACCACCAGCUCCACCGCCUCCUCCGCGCCAGGUAAUUCUUCUUCCUCCCUUCAUUACUGCAUUUUUUUUUUCGUUCCUGCAUGCAGAACGAAUAACGUUCUGCAUGCAGAAGGGUGGGGGGAAAAUAAUUCCCCCCGCCAGCGUUUGUUGCUGGGCCAGGCUGGUCCUGGCCCAGCCCAGUCUUCUGGGCCGGGUCUGGCCCAGAAGAGGAUAAUAGUAUUUGGGCCGAAAUCGGCCCAAUCCAUUUUUUGGGCCGAGAUCGGCCCAACACUUUUGGGGCUGAGUCCGGCCCAGUUGUUUGGGCCGGCCCAGCCCGAUUUAAUAUUAUAUAUUAUAUAUAUUAUAUUUUGUAUUACUUAUAUAUAUAUGUGAAAAAUUACAAAAAUUACACAAAAAAAUUAUUUAAAAAAUAUGUGAUUUUGUUGUAAUUUUAUUACAGUAUUUUGAUUAAUAUUGGUUGGUAUUUUUAUACUCUAAAGAUACAAAAUCCAGUUUUAAAAUACCCGGUUUUCAUCAAAACAUCAAAGAUUUUCAAAAUAAAAAAUGUCUUUUGCUUUCAAAAAAUUUCUAAAAAUAUCUUUAAAAAUAUUGUUGAUUUUUCUGCAUUUGUUUUAUCAAAGUGGAUUAAUAUUUGGUUGUAUUUUUAUACUGUAAGAAUACAAACCCAGUAUUAAAAUACCCGGUUUUCGUCAAGACAUAAAAAAUAAAAUAAGUUAAAAAUGUUUUGUUUUCGUGCAUACGGCCUAGUCUCUCUAACAUAUAUAUAUAAAUAUUAUAACAUCAUAUUUUCACACAACAAAAGAAAUUUCAAAAAAAAAAUAUAUGUAUUAGCAUGCAUUUUGGCUUUAAUAACCAGUUUAUUCGAGCCAUGAGAACUAGGCCAAUAUUUCAAAAAUUCUAAAAAAAUCUUUUUGUCCUCUUUUAGUACAUGGGAUUACAAAUUUAAACAUAAAAUGUUUUCCUGAUAUUAAAAAUAUAGUUUUUUCACAUAGACGUUAGAACGGUUAGGUUUUACCCGAUAAGAUAAGGACCUCCUUAUUGAGGAGGACUUUUCUUGAACCAUAGACGGACCAACAUACAUAGAUGUUAGAACGGUUAGGUUUUACCCGAUAAGAUAAGGACCUCCUUAUUGAGGAGGACUUUUCUUGAACCAUAGACGGACCAACAUACAUAGAUGUUAGAACAGUUAGGUUUUACCUGAUAAGAUAAGGACCUCCUUAUUGAGGAGGACUUUUCUUGAACCAUAGACGGACCAACAACUAGGAAACACAACGAGACCUUGAAUUUUAUCAGACAAAUAAACAAUGCAGCUUACCUUAGGUAGGGCGUAUUUGGGGUGGUAAUACCUUCCCUUUACGCAACCAGUCCCCGUGCCCAAUCUCUGAGACCAGUUAGGGUUCCUAGUGACCAAAAUACUAGGUGGCGACUCCCACACCAUUUUUCACUGCUAAGAGACAAAGAACUCCUUGUCUCACCAUAUUGACCAGAUAUAUAUCCCCCCACCAUACACAUUCGAGGGUGGACGAUCGCCGCGACGUCGCGCACGUGCGACAUUUGCUUUGCUAUUGGCUUAUGCUUAAAUAGAUUGCAGGAAUCGAAACAUGAGGUAAGCUACAUUGUGUGGUUUGAAAGUGGUUGAAAGGCUUUGAUAGGUUCCUAAAUAGUGGUAUAUCUAUGGCUUAAGAUGAGGAUUUAUUCAUGUAAAUAAAUCAGUUUUUUUUAAUUUAUUAUGGGCUCGUAUGCCCAAAUGAAUUCUUAUGAAAAGUAUCCAUAUAGGUGUCCUAACAAGGUUCACCUAUCUUGGAAGGUAGAAGGGUUUUUUCACAACUUGUGUAUUGUGAUGAAAAAUACUUCCAAUUAAAAUUGGUGAAUAUUUAAAAUAGUUAUGAGAAUUUUCUGGUCAACUCCUGAUAUUUAAAUACCAGCCUAUUUGUAGGUCCAACAUUUAUACCAGAAAAUUGACCAUCAAUUCUCAUGAAUUCAAUAAAUCAGUUAUUAAAUCCAAAAUGCAUGCAAAUAUAUAUAUAUAUAUUUGAAUUGUGUAUAAAAAUACUAAAACACACCAUGUAUUUUAUUUUUUAAGCUAGAUAUUAUUAUUUAUUUUUGAGAGACUUGGAUGUAUGGUAUUUAAAAUAAGAUUGUAUUUUUGAAAGAAGAGAUUUUUUGUUGUUUUUGUAAAAGGUAAAAUGAUUCGUUUGAAACACUCAAAAUGCCUCGCAUGUAGGUCACAAUUCCAAAUAUUAAAAUGGUAAGAAAAUAUGGCGAACUCAAAAUUAAUUACAAGAUGAUCUUCCAAGGAUUUUGAAAAUGGAUGAAGACAUUGUUUAAUAAAACACAAGUUAAUUAAUUUUAUCAAGGCUAUUUUUACCAUGAUAUUAAUUCAAAACAAAAUAUCAUUCAUUAACUUGAAGCCGAGCAACACCAAAAAUCCACUUGAAUCUUAUUAAUUUCACAAACUUUGUUCAAAUUGCAUAUUAAUCCAAACAAAUCAACAUAAACCCAAACAUAAUUCAUGCAUCAAUAUAUAUUUAAUGUCCAAAAAACAAUAACAAUCUAAAAAUAAAGUUAUAAUUCACCACAAAUAUUCAAAUUAUUUCAAAAAUCAAUGACACACAUCAAUCCAAAUUAAAAGUGUUCAACAAUCCGGAAAAAAACACAAUAAUAAGCAUUUUUUCCCAAAAUUUCACAACAUUAUAGCAAUUUGUCCAAAAAAAUAUUUUAAGGUUAUGAAUCGACAUUUCUUGGUGUUUAAUGUGUCAAGGUAUAUUGCAAUAGACACUAGAAGAUCACUAGAAUAAGUGGCAGCGCGUGUACCACAUGACACUACCACUUUCGGCGCGUGGACGCGCCACUACCGGUGGAAGAGCAUGUGCUGUUGGAUCUGAAACAGGUCUUCUCUUUGCUCUUAGUUGAGAAUAAUUGGGAGGCUUAACCUAAUGAUUAGCCAACCCUUUCUAUAUAUAUAUGUAGGGCAAUAUACAAUAGUAAUGGUGGAGGUUACCACACAAGAGUAUGUCUACAAUAUUUCCUAUAUACAAUAUUUCCUAUAUAAGUACAAUUUAUAAUAUGCCCCCUCAAGCUGGGGGUGGAGGAUCAACCCGAAGCUUGAAACGAAAAGCAGUAAACGAAGAAGUAGGAAGUGGCUUAGUGAAGACAUCGGCAAAUUGAUCCUAGGAGGAAAUAAAACGAAUCUGAAUCUCCUUCUUUGCAACUCUAUCUCGGACAAAAUGAUAAUCGACCUCAACAUGUUUUGUGCAAGCAUGAAAAACAGGAUUCGCAGACAAAUAAGUGGCACCAAGGUUGUCACACCAGAUAAUAGGAGCAGAAGCAGACAAAAUCUGGAGAUCUGUUAAUAAGUACUGAAGCCAGAUAACCUCAACAAUGCCAUCAGCUAAGGCUUUGUACUCAGCUUCAGUAGAAGAGCGAGCAAUUGUGCGUUGCUUACCGGAUUUCCACGAAAUCGGCGUCUGACCAAAAAACACAAGGUAACCACCCGUAGAUUUAUUGUCCUCAACACUACCUGCCCAAUCUGCAUAUGUAAAACCAUGUAAGGCAAAAGAAGAACUGCGAGUAAUAUGUAAGCCAUGUGAUGUCGUACCCCGAAGAUAACGCAAGAUGCGUUUCACGGCAGCCCAAUGAGAAUCUGUAGGAGCAUGCAUAAACUAACAGACUCUGUUAACAGCAAAGCAAAUAUCUGGGCGCGUAAAAGUGAGAUACUGAAGAGCACCCAUAAUUUGACGAAAGAGGGUAGCAUCAGAAAACAAUGGAUCGGGCAUAAUGGUAGCUUUGGAUGUAGAGAUAGGAGUAUCAACAGGUUUGCAAGAUAACAUACCAGCCCGAGUGAGGAUGUCAAGUAUAUAUUUAUGCUGGCGGAGCAUAAGACCCAUACUAGUAGACUGAACCUCAAUACCCAAAAAAUAAUGAACAGAACCCAAGUCGCGAAGCUUAAAUUCUGAGCUCAUUAGCUGAAUGAGGCGUUGGAGCAGAAAAGAGUUACUACCCGUAAGCAGAAAAUCAUCAACGUAGACCAGAAGAUAACAAAUAUCAACACCAACAGAGAAGAUAAACAAUGAGGUAUCCACCUUAGAGGCACGAAAACCAAUAGAUAACAGGAAAUCAUUCAGACGAGUGUACCAAGCCCGCGGAGCCUGUUUUAAACCAUAUAGAGAUUUAUGCCAUCGGCACACAUGAGAGGGGAGAGCAGAAUCAACAAAACCUGGAGAUUGUUUCAUGUAGACCUCCUCAUCAAGAACACCAUUGAGGAAGGCAUUAUGGAUGUCAAGCUGAUGAAUUUUCCAACCACACGAAACUGCAAUGGAGAAGACUAAUCUGAUGGUCGCCUGUUUGAUGACUGGACUAAAGGUUUCAGAGUAAUCAAUACCUUCUUGCUGAGUGAAACCUUUAGCAACCAUACACGCCUUAUACCUCUCGAUGCUUCCAUCAGAUCUGCGUUUAAUCUUGUAUACCCACCGACUACCAACAACAUUCAUGGAGGGGUGAAACGACACUAAGGUCCAAGUUAUGUUUGCGCGUAAGGCCUGAAUUUCCUCACGCAUAGCACUAUGCCACUCCUCAUAUUUGUUAGCAUCAUUAAAAACAAGUGGCUCACGAGAGGGAGGAGAAACUACCCGGCUGAAGGAGACAGCAGAGGUUGCGGCAGUGGCUGUGGACAACGCUGUCUUGGGCUGCCUUGGACGAAGAACCAUGGGAUGUUGACGAGCAGCUGGGCAUGGAGAAGUGUGACCUGUACCUGGAAGAUGCUGAAGAGGAUAUGAGGAGAGGUCUACACAGAGCUGCAGACCAGCUGAAGCAGUGGAGGGACUGGUCUGCACUGUAGACACUGGUGAGGCUGCUGCAGAACUGGGAUGAUCUGCUGCAGAACCUGGCUGCUCUGUUGCAGCAGACCUGAGAACAUGUGCAUCCGGUGAUGGAGAACCUGUUCCUGCAUAAUGAUCAUUGGAAAGACAAGCAUAUGGUGACAGUAUGGCAAUGUGGGAUGGUGAUGAAGGGGUGGUAGAAUCUAUAGGCAAAAGGGUAGGCUGGUAGGGUGCGGCAGAGGGUAGAAUUGGGUUGUGGUUGGGGCCGGUUUGGUAAGUAGUAGGCUGAAAGGAUGGAGGAGGGUUCAAGGAUGGAAGAUAGGUAGGUGGGGUGGGAGGUACCGGUGAGGAUGUUACCUGUUCAGACUUCAUAAAAGGAAAGAUAUUUUCAUGAAAACGAACAUGACGGGAGACAUAAAUACGAUCAGACUUUAAGUCAAGACAACGAUAACCAAGAUGAGAUGAGCUAUAACCUAAAAACACACAAGGAGAAGACCGGAAAUCUAAUUUAUAAGCAUGAUAUGGACGCAAAAAGAGAAAACAAAGACACCCAAAAGUAUGUAGAAAGUUAUAAUCAGGAGUGCGUCGAAACAGACACUCAAACGGAGAUGUAUUUUGGAGAACAAGAGUAGGCAUGCGAUUAAUAAGGUAGACUGAUGAUUCAAAAGCAUAGUUCCAAAAUCGCAAUGGGGCACUACACUGGCCUAAAAAGUUUAGGCCAGUUUCGACUAUAUAUUGAUGACGACAUUCAACAGUGCCAUUUUGUUCAUGAGUAUGAGGACAAAUUAACCUAUGAUGAAUACAAAUGGUCUGAAAAAUUUUAUUUAAUUUACGAUAUUCACCGCCCUAAUCAGUUUGAACAGAUUUAAUUUUAAGAGAAAACUGACGCUCAACAAGUGUUUGAAAACGUUGAAAAGUGGAAAAAACAUCAGAUUUCGCAACAAGCGGAUAAUACCAUAUAUGUUUGGUAUGCGCAUCGACAAAAAUAACAAAAUAGAGGAAGCCAUCAGAAGAAAACAUAGGGGUAGGACCCCAAACAUCACUAAAAAUUAAUUCAAGUGGGGCAGAAGUUUUGUGAGCCGUAGGUCGUAAUGACAAACGGGACGACUUUUCUAAAGGACAAGCUUGACACUGAGUAAGAGAACAUUUAGAAGUACAUACGAUUUUAUUGCUGGAAACUAAUAAAUUGAAAAUGCGAGGGGUUGGAUGACCCAAACGACGAUGCCACAGGUCGGCUGUCGCAAAGAUGCAAGGAGACCGAAAAGCUUGAGGAAUUGACGUGGCAGAAGACUCGGAGAGGACAAAAGGCCAUCAUGACUCUGACCGGAAAGGAGAACUUCCUUGGUGACGAGAUCCUUCACAUAAAACAUAGAAGUGUGAAAUUUAAAAUAAACAUGAUUAUCACGAUAGAAUUUUUGAACAGAUAACAACAGUUUGGUAAUGUGAGGCACAUGGAGAACAUUAGAUAAUGUAAACAUGCGUUUUGGGGAAAGUAAUUUAGUAUGUCCAAUAUGGGAUAUGUCAAGGCCCUUACCGUCACCAACAUGCAAAUAAUCAUUACCAAGAUAGGGUGCAGAAUCGGUCAGAGUUCCAAGAUCAGGUGUGACGUGUUGAUUCGCGCCGGUGUCGGGGAACCAAGUCGCACCAGAGAUAUUCCCAACAGCAAGAUGAGUAGAGGGCUGCUAAGAGCUGCUACAAAACUGGGAACAAUGGGGAGCUGUGUGCCCAAAACUGGAGCACAAUUGGCAGCGUACAUGCUGCUGUCCAGACCACUGCCCAGCAUUGGAAUUGCGCCUAGUUUGCUGCCAGUUGUUUGGCCGCCAAUCUGCAGCAGAGUGGCCCCUAUUCUGGGGAGUGGAACGGUUGUUGUGGGGACGCCAAUUACCUCUAGAGCGACCCCUGUUGCAGCUGAAGUUGCGGUUGUGAUGAGACAUAGCAUGGUGUGCAGAAAACUAUGGUGUUGGCAGCAGAGAAGAAGAAGACAACAGAGAGGGAGCGACAGUCAUGGAAUGGUAAGAGUUCUUGUGCAGAAAUUCAUGGGUAAGAAGGUGGCUGUGAAGAUCAGCGUAGGAUAGCGGUUCUGCCUUGGUUAUGAGACUCGUUACCAAGUCUUUGAACUCACCACGAAGGCCACGAAACACAUAAAGAUUGAAAUCUUCAAGAGACAUGGGGCGACCAGCAGUAGCCAAUUCGUCAAAUAACGAUUUGGCUUGCUGCAUGUAUAGACUAACCAAUGAGUCACCUUGCCGAAGGUCUUGAAAGGAGUCAUGGAGUUGCAUGAUGCAAGAAUUAGACGGAGAGGCAAGCGCUUUCUCAAGAGUGCGCCAAACACAAUGCGAAGUAGAACAAUCUACCACGAGAUGCAACACAUCCACGGAGAGAGAGGAGAGCAAAGCACUCAAAAUAAGUUGAUCCUGUUGCUUCCAACAAAGAAAAGAAGGGCUGAUGAUAGAGGAAGAACCAGCAGAGCUGUCAAAAAUAUGAGAUGGAGGACACGGCACUAAGCCGUCAACAAAGUGAAAAACACCUUGACCAAGGAGAUAUGGCUUCAUCUGCAUUCUCCAAUAGAGAUAAUUUGUGUUCGUAAGUUUUAGCGAAACAACUUGGUGAGUGUUCGCUAAAGGAACAAUAGUUGUAGUGUGGGUUCCCAUGAGAGGUAAAGGAACGGCAGGGACUUGGAAGGAAGAAUCAGAGACAAGCUCUGCAAGUAGAGGCUGCUGUGGGGAAGAAAAGGCACCAGUGGCAGCAGCAUGGGGAUGGUUGGCCGACUGUGCUGCACCACCUGUGGAGAGGGAGAAGUCGGCAGCAGCAGUAGAAUCCAUGUAGAGAAAGUAAAGAGAGGGUCGGCUGCAAAGGGAGGAAGGGAGAAAAGAGUUUGACGGCAGAAAGCUCUGAUACCAAGUUGAGAAUAAUUGGGAGGCUUAACCUAAUGGUUAGCCAACCCUUUCUAUAUAUAUAUAUAUAUAGGGCAAUAUACAAUAGUAAUGGUGGAGGUUACCACACAAGAGUAUGUCUACAAUAUUUCCUAUAUACAAUAUUUCCUAUAUAAGUACAUUCUAUAAUACUCUUAGACUGACAGUGAGACAAACGGAUGUCUAAAGGUAGAGAUCUGCUCGAUCAAAGGUCAAUCCUCUUCUCUUUUAUUCUUCUCUCUUUCAGCUCUCUCUACCGUUUCUAAACAUUCUGAAGAGACCUGGUGUUCACGGUGGGGUUUUUGGUUACAUGGAGAAGCUAUUGGGAUAGUUGUGACGAGUUGCUCAGCUGCGAUGAUGCGUGGCAGAAAAUGACAUCAACAACUGGUAGUAUGUGAUGAGCAGAACCUGGUUUUCAAUUUCAAUUUAAUGAAUCAAUGAUCAUUGAUUAGAUUGAUACCAUUUCCCAUUCUUCAAGUUCCCCUACAAUCUCCAUUAUUUGUAAUUAAAAAACUUCAAUACGGAAAAGUGGUGAUGUAUACAAGUUUGAAAAAACUUUCAUUAAAAGAAUGAUAACUUAAGUGUUUUUGUAUAACUUCUUAGACAAGGAUGAAAUACAUUGAGCAAUUGCAUACAAGUGGAUUUGUCAAAGCAUGAAAGCCGUUCAAAAGAGAGCCGUUCAGAUGGAAUUACCGGAUUUAUUGGUAACUGAGGAAGGAUAACCAAAUUUAUGGGUAAUUAUAUGAGCCGUUCAGAUGUGUAGUAUGUAAUGGAUGUAUUAUAUAUUUGUAUAGAUGUUAGUAUGGCUAAAUCAUUUUCAAAAUGAUAAGAUAAGUUUAUAAUAUAAAGUAAUAGAAUACAUUAGAUGUUUUAAGACAAUAUGACUCUUAAUCUAAAUAUUGUAUUCAUGUAGUCUAAAUGCAUAUAUGUAGUUAGUUUGCAUUUAUUACUCUUUAGUGAUGAAAUUGUUUGUCUUUCAAUUUGUUUUAGUAAUUCUUUUAUGUUGACUUAUUAAUUGAUAUUAUGAGACUUGAAUAUAAUAAUAAGUAUAAGUUUUGAGAGAUUGAUUGAUGAAUGGGAUGUGAUUCAGGAUGAUUGGAUUAAGAUGGAAGUUGUAAUGACAUAUAAUAGAAGUGUUGUCGAUAAAUUGGCACCAACAAAAAUAGAGGAAACUUUGGCGAACUUUUCAAAAAAAAUUUAAAAAUCUAUAAUCUUAGACAAAUUAUUCAAUACUUAACAUUCGUAAAGAAACGUUUAAGAUUUCAUGACAUUAUAAUUUGAGGAUGUUAUAGUUUGGUACUAAGACAAACCAUGCAUUUUAUUUUUUAAGUAAGAUAUGUUUUAUUUUUAUUUUUGGGAGACUUGGUCGUAUGUUAUUUAAAAUAAAAUUGUAUUUUUGAAAGAAGAGAUUUUUUUGUUGUUUUUGUAAAAGGUAAAACGAUUCGUUUAACAUCCAAGAAGCAUCUCGUGUGUAAGUCACGAUUUUAAAUACUAAAUACGUGAUGAUUGGAAAAUAUGGGGAACUCAAAAUUAAUUGCAAGAUGAUCUUCUAAAGAUUUUGAAAAUGGAUGAAGACCGUGUUUAGUAAAACACAUAUAAAUUAUUUUUAUCAAGGCUAUUUUAACCACGAUAUUAAUUUAAAACAAAAUAUCGUUCAUCAACUUGAAACGAGCAACACCAAAAAUCCACACGAAUCUUAUUAAUUUCACAAACUUUGUUCAAACUGCGUAUUAAUUCAAAGAAAUUAACACAAACCCAAACAUAACUCAUGCAUCAAUAUUUAAUGUCCAAAAAAUAAUCACAAUCUAAUAAUAAACUCAUAACUCACCACAAAUACUCAAAUCACCUCAAAAUCAAUAAUACACAUCAAACCAAAUUAAAAGUGUCUAACGGUCAAGAAAAAAUACACAUUAAUAAGCAUUUCCCUUAAAAUUUCACAACAUUAUAGCAAUUGUCUGAAACAAUAUUAGUAAUUAAAAAACUUCAAUAUAGAAAAGUGGUGAUGUAUACAAGUGGAUUUGUCUAAGCAUGAAAGCCGUUCAAGAGAGAAGGAGUUACCAAUAUAUAUUCCUUUCUCAUCUCUCAAAUAUAUAUAUUUCUUAUCACUUUAUUCAUGAACUCUUGAUUAAUCCGAAUUCUAUGUCAUAUGCGUAAUCUAAUUUUGAAAUGAAAUAUUCUUUCGCAUGAACCGGCUAUAAUAUUCAUGUAAAAAAGCAUCAGACAAUAUCUUACCUGCCUUGCCACCGCCAGGACCUUAAAUCCAGACCUUUGCCUACCGCAUUAAUUGACAAGAAUAUUUCAAGCAUUUAGAACCUUAAAGAUACCAACACAGCAUUGGGGUAGAUUUUUCAUAGCAUGAAAAAUUGGUAUUAAUAAGAACUUUUUUUUUUCCUGGUCCUGCUCGAUUUGGAAAGGGGUCCUUGAGGAUCCAAUUUGGAGUAUCUUGUGGGUUUAGUCAAAAAGGUCAUUCUCAGUCUUCACACUUCAUGCACAAGGAAAGAAUAUGUUUAAUUCGUCAAUCGACUCAUAGCUAACUCUGUAACAAAUGUUUGGGAUGAAGGGAAAAGUAUAGAUUUUUCUCAUUAGAGAAAGAAACUGCAUAAAAUGUGAAUGCUGUAAUUAUUUUCAAAGAACUUAACCAUAAAUCCACCCUUCUUGCAAGGAACAAAGCCUUCUUCCCUAUAUUUUCAAAGAAUGCUAUAAUUAUUAUGGUGAAUCAUGCAUGCAUAUCCAGAAUGAUUUGAUAUUUCUUAAUUGAAUUUUGGAAAGGUCGUGAUACUUGGUAAAGCCUUUGGAUAGUUUCUCUGAGAUGUGAUGGAAUUAACAACAUAUUGAGAAUAAUAAAAAAGAAAAAGCAACGGAAUCAAUGAUCAAAAGUUGUGAAAAUUAUAUCUUUCUUUGAAGAUUUUGAUUUUGACCACAGUGAACCUAUAAGCUUAGAUAGAGAGGGCUUCUAUGAUUUCUAUAUAUACGGACUAGCUUGGCUUCAAACCAUAUGUACAAGUCAAGCUCAAACUCAGAACCUACUUAAACUGUUUCUUCUUCUUAUUUUUUAGUGUCAUUUUGCAAAUGGCUCGCCAAGCAGAUCGCCUUUACAAGAUUGGGUUGGAAGGGUUUGCACUAAUAGACGAGUGGUACGGGUACCCUAGGAGGUCUUCAACUCCUCAAGAGCACCAUCAGCAACGAUAUGAUUAUGGUGGAAUCCAAGUUCCCAUGAUGAAAAUGGAUGUUAUCAACAACAAGGAGGCAGCUAAACAUUAUGGUGGGGUGGUGAUUAUGGAUUAUCGAAAGAAAAAAUUACUCUAUUGAUCUCUUUAGUGAUAAUGUAUUAGGCCUUGCUUUGCUUGGUUAAGUUAAUUACCAAGCAUAAUUAAGUCCGUUUUAACUUUAUUGUUUUCUUCUUCUUUUUCCUAUGUUUGUGUGUGUGUAUGCCAACUGUUUUAGAGUCAGCUACUCCAAAACAUGAAAAAGUAUGAGUGCCUUAAAGUGAUUUGCUGCACCUCUUAUUUCUCUAUGAUUACUUUGUUGGGUUUCUUGAAAUACAUGACAUAGUGAAAAUAGGGAUUUUAGAAAGUUUUUUCAAGUCUCAUGGAUCUCAUUAAACAACAUAAACUUAUUUAGGAUUUGUGCGAAAAUUGUAUGAAGAUGGUUCUUCCUCCUGGAAUUUGAUCAACACUUGAAGGUUGGGUUUGUCGUAAAUCAAGUCUUUACUUGAUUUUUUUAAAUAUAGAAUUUUAAUCUCAUGUGCUAAUUAUAUUAUAGUCUUCAGUUUUUAAAACUUAUUUACAAUCAAUUUGUUGUUACUAACUUUUGACUCCACGAGAAAUCAAUAAAAGAAAAGAGAAAAGAUAGAAAGAGAAAAUCCAAAAUACAAGAGGAUAUACAUGAAAAAAACCUAAAAGAUUAAUAGUAGGCUAGGAACUUUUAGGAUGCUGGGUUCGGUUUCUUCAUGUUCUUGAAAAGAAAAUUGUCUUAGCCUUAUGAUUUAGAUCAACUUUGGUCCAAUUGUUUACACUAAACCAUUCAGGCGACUUGACUAGUAGAUAAUAUAGAGUUUAUUUGCAUUAAUAACAAGUUUAUGUGGUUUUUAAUCCUAAGAUUUUGGUUUUUAACUAAAACUCAUUUUGAUAAAAUCGUGUUAAUUCUUUGAUAAUCAAAGAAAUGGAUGCUAGAUUAUGGAUCCUUGCAUGAUUUUGAAUAAAACUCUGCCUUUGAUUGCAUGAAAACUUGACUGGAUUGAGAUUUGUGUUUGUUGGUUUCUUGAUGAAUGUUCUUUGUGUUCUUCAUGAUUUGAGUGUUUAAUCUAUUUUUCUGUAAUUUUUUUUAUGUUUUGUGUUAAUUUUCAACUUUGGUUUUGUAUCAGUUAAAACCUUUGGGUUUAUUUUCAGGUCAAACAUUGGUUUUUGGUUCGAUUCAUCGUUGAACUAGUGUUUUUGGGUCGACCCAUUUGGUUUUGUUUUGGGUCAAGUACUUAAGGCUUUGUUUGUUUGAACAACCUUUUGUGAAGGAUUUUUUUGGUCUAAGGGGAUGUUUGGCAAACACACACUUAAAUGCAUUUUGGCAAUUUCUAGGGAAAGAAAAGAUUGUUUUUCCAAACAUUGGCUUAUAGAAAUAAAUAAAUAAAAACAAUAAAUGAUUUUGGUUUGUUGCAUAUAUCUCAAUCUUUACAAAAAAAAAUGCAAUUUAUUUAUAAGAAGGAGGGAAAAUGUUUUUAGCAUUGUUUUUUUUUAAUUUUUGUAAUUUACAAUAAGUUUGCAAAAUUCCUUAAGGAUGUGGCCAAUAUUUCAAUAACCCUAAAAAUUUUAAUUCCUAAAAAUUAAUGGUCAACAUUCUGGUAUAAAUGUUAAACCUAUCAAUAACUUAGUAUUUACACUACCACAAUCUUUAUAUUUAUCGACAGAAUUUUCUGUCGGUAUUUGCACUAUCAUUCCGUUGAUAAUUAAUUUACCAAUGAAAUUACCGACGAAAAUACUCCGUCGGUGAAUCCUUCGUCGGUAAUUUUUUGUUCGUCGGUAAGUCCGUUGGUAAUAAAAAUAUUAUUUGACCGAUGAAAAAAGCGUGCAAAAAAAAAUUAUCCGCUUCAUUCCGUCGUUAUUUCUCUCGGUAAGUCCGUAUGUAAUUAUUUAAAUUUUUUUUAAAAAAAUCAUUUUACAAAACUAUAAAAUAAUUAAAUUAAUAUAAAUCAACACUCUAUAAUACUCAAAACACUUGAAAAAAAAAAUAAACAAAAUAAACUCAAACAAAUUUGCAACAAAUAAAUAACAAGAAAAAAUAAAUUCAACUCCAAAAAUUCAUAUGAAAAAAAUAAAGUUGCAAUUGCUAAAAAAUUAAAACUCCUAUAAAUAAAUCAACUGAAAAUUGAUCUCAUAUGGAAAAAAAAAUCCUACAACAACAUUCAUACAAUUAUUAAGAACAAAAAAAAUUAAAAACAAAUAUAGUGAAAACAAAAACACGAAAAAAGAAGAAAACAAAUCUUACCUUAAUGUAGUUGCAAGUGAAGCUAAUAAGAGAAAAAAAAUUAUAAAGUAUAAUAAUUAAAAAAAACUAAGAACAAAAAAAAGAGAGAAAAAUACAUACUUGAGCAUGAAGGAGAAGAGAAGGAGUUGAGGAGAGAGGAGAAGAGAAAGAAAUGGAUAUUGAUGUUUUUUACAUAUGGGAAAGAAGAAGAAGAAGAAGAAGAAGAAAGGAGCCUUGUUUGUUGUGAAAUUGGGGAUUCCAGACUUUUUAUUGGGGUGUUUUACCGAUUGAUAAUUAAAUAUUAAUAUUUUCAAUUAAAUAAAAAAUUUCCGAAACCACCAAAUAUCACCGACAGCUUUUCAAUCCAUCGGUGAUUCCGUCUGUAAUAUUUAAUUUAAAUUUUCAAUUUUAUCAAAAUUUUUAGAAACCCGCCAAAUAACACCGACGACUUUUUAAUCCAUUGGUGAUUUUGUAUUUAAAAAACAGUAAUUAACAGUGCAAUUGUGGAGUGAACAGUUCCAGAGCUCUCUGGAAAAUACCGACGGUAUUUUUCGUUGGUGAUUCUGUCUGUAAUUGACAUGAUGAACAAUGUUAACAGUGAUUCCGUUGGUAAAAAAUGACACGUCAUUGUUUUUUUUUUUUUGCUUUGUUUAAAUUUUUUUUCCCACUGUAAUUCCCUCGGUAUAUACCGAAGGUAUAUUUCGUUGGUAAAAACCGUCGGUAAUUUAUAGACGGAAAUAUUUCCUUGAUAUUUCCGUUUGUAUUUAUUGAUUUUCUGAUAGUGUUAGGUACCAGAAGUUAACUAUAAAUUCUCAGAAUUAUUUUGGAUAUUCACCAAUUUUAAUUGUGAGUAUUUUUUUAUCACAAUAUAUGAGUUAUAGAAAACACUUUCGCAUUUCAGGAUUGGUGACUCCUGUUAGAGCACCUACAUGGAUUCUUUUUAUAAGAAUUUACCUAAGCAUACGAGCCCAUAAUAAAUUUGAAAUGUCAGAUUUAUUUAUGGGCGUAAUUUUUUUUUUGAGCCAUAGAUGAACUACUGAUUAGGAACCCAUCAACACGUUUAAACCAUAUCAUGACAACACAAUACAACUUACUUCGAGUAAGGAUGCUAAUACUUUUUUCUAGCCAAUACUAGUCCCUUACCCUAAAAUUUCAGUUAAGAUCAUUCUACUUGGGUCUUCUAAUGACUCUGAACUACACAACUAGGUGGCGACUCCUUAAUCUCGAUACUGCAACACCGCGCGCGCAUGGGCGACACAAUUCAUGCUUGAUUAAUCAUCCAUGUUCCGAAUAUGUUGACACAAAUAUAAAUUAUAAUCCUAUUCAAAACAAGAUUAAAUAAAUUAAGCAAUUUAACUUAUUAUCAAUCCAACAAAUUAAUAGAUUUAUAUUUAAAUAUCAAAUGCAACAUACCAUGAUCUCUUAAAUCUUGUCGUAGUACCAAAAAAAUGUGAGUGUAUCAUCUUUUAGAUGGUGAAUCAUCUUUUAUCAUUCAUAUACCUUUAUAGCUAUGUGAGCAAGUGUAUCUAGUAAAAAGAUAUAUUAUUCUCCCAUGAUAAUGAGAUUAUCAUGUCUUUAAAUGUCUUUACAGAAAAAGGGGAGGGGGGAAAUGCGCUGAGUAUAUAGCUUUUCUUGAUCUUUUCCAAUCCUUCAUUAUAAAUAGGACGCAUCAAACAUGAUGUGAAUCAUGUUUGAUUCUUUUCACAAACUUUGUGUAUGAUAUGAAUCUCUACUAUUAAAUGCAAUGAGAUGCGCUUUAACUUCCACCAUAUUUCAUUUUAGCCUAGAAGGGUUGAUCUUACUUCCUCAGCAUCUCCAACUGCAUGCCCUUGCCUUCUCUACAUAUAAAAUAGAAUAUUAUUGCUUCUGAAACAUAAAGAUUGCAUGCAUCGGCUUUUAGUGAACUUUUGAUGACAUGAAACUGCCACAAAAUGGGUCCUAUCCGAGAGAGUGUUCUUUUUCUGUUCUGUUAUCACAUAGAACUGAAAUCUGUUCAGAGUACCCCUCCAAGAAAAUGGUCUCUCAAGGGAAGUCCUGAGGAAAUUGACGCAUAUAUAACGAUAUAUCUUGUCCCAGUAUCAAAAACAAAUGUUAAAAAAUGAGAGUAUAUGAACCCAUGAAGUGGUAUCAGAAUCUAUUUUCCUAUUGUUAUUAACAAAACGGAAAGCCAUAACUUACUGUUUGUGCCCUGAAUCUUCUUUCAUAAUUAAACUGAGAUUAUUCUGAUUAGAAGGAAUCAGAGAUAAAAUACCCUGAAUCUUCUUUCAUAAUUGGCUUUCGAGAAGGUUUAGUGUUUUUACUACUUCUACUUUUGGACCUGACUUGAUUCCUCACCGGUAGAAACAGCAUUAGUCCAAAAGCAGGGAAACCAAUAUAAUCUUUUUCAGAUGUCCAUGGUGCUGAUGGAAAAUUAAUCUUUUUCCAGAAGUGUAAGGCUAAAUAGAUAUUAUGAGACCAAUAUAUUUUUCUUAUUGUCAGAUUUUCUUUUUUCUUCUAUAGUUUCUAGUGCUUGGUAUGUAAAUAUUAUCAUAAUAGGUUUGCGUGAAUUCAUAAAAUAGAUGGGAAACCUAACCACGCACGCGAACUAGAGGCAUGCAAACCAUGAAAUAUCUUGAGUAUUUGUGUAUUACAUGGCUUACAAACCUGUAUUUAUUUCCUCUUUAGAUUUGUAUCUUCUUCUUCUUCAUUUUAAUUAUAAUUAAAUCAAUUAUUAUUAUUAUUAUUAAUAUGGGUCUGUGACAUGACCUAAGAGUUGAUGUCUUCUCCCAAGUGUAGGAGUGUCGAAGUAAUAAAUAACCUGGCAAGACCGGGGUCGAACCAUAGGAAGGUUAACUAUAUAAACUACAAAUAAAGAAAUAGAUAAUAACAGAAAAGGAUUGAAGAGAGCUUUGAGAUGUGAUAUUGAUAUAAUGAUUAAACAAUGAUAAAAUAAUUGUCAAGGUUAGAGGAUCCACUAACGGUAUUUCAAACAAGUAUAGUAUAAACUCUUUUUAUUACUCAACUGGAAACCACACACAAAGGAGGUUCCAAUCGGAUUAUAAAUUGUUAACAUGAUUACAUUAGUUAUCUUAUUCGACUAAUGCUAAUACUUGUAAAUAUUGUCAGGUAUUCAUGAUUAUAACUUAUGUUAACAACAAAUCAAGUUCCUUUCAUAGCACAUGUGUCAGUUAUACCAUACGGUUGGGUUAUGAAAGUGCCAAGUAUUUAUUGUACCAAGGGUUAUACAACAUAAAUCUAGAUUAACCAUUUAACAAGCAAAGUAUUAAAAGUGAACAAGAUAACAAAUAUAAAACAUGUUAGUAUCAAACAUUAAAGUCCAUGUUGAGUUUAUACUAUACUUAUUCUUACACUAUUAGUGUAACCUUUUCACCUUGACAUAAUAAACUUAGCUAAACAUAAUGAAAGAUAGAAACAUAAAUAAACAAGAUAAGAACAUAAACAAGAUAUAAGUUAACUAAGUAAAGGAAAGGAAAUGAAAAGCAUAAACAAGAGAUUAAUAUAAUAAAACUUAAGCAUUAUAAAAAUAUAAAGAAAGAGAGCAAGAACAUGAUCUUGAUAUGAAAACCAAGAUGCUUAAAUGCAUGACAAAUGCCUCCUUUUAUAGGCCAAAAUUCGGAACUAUUGAUUUGAUGACUAAUUAUUGAGUUGGUGGCCACAUCUUGACUUGGUGACAAUUCUUAUCUUCUUGUCUGAACAAAACGUCAUUGCUAACAUUAGAAUUUGAAUAGAUAGUCUUCAUGAAAGUUCUGGGAAAUUGUCUCAACUUUCCAACAAAACAAGAAUAGGCGCAUUUGGACUUCUAGAACUCGAGAUAUGGGCUGAAAACUGAACAGUGUCUGGGCUGCAGGACCGAUUCUGACUUCUUCGUUGUUGCUACCAUUUGAACUCGAAAAUGACACUUUUAAAUCUUGGACUCUACAUGAAAGUUUUAGGCCUAUGUCUUAGCUUUCCAUACAUAUAAACCAGACCUAAAUCCAUGUUCUACAGCUUCAUUUAUUAUCCAAUAACCGAAUGGUAUUCUAGUUUGGACUAAACAAGCAUCUCUUUUCUAAGCUUAACCCUCUCUUUGUCUUCUCAAUUUCAGUAGUUAAACUUAAGUAGGAUUUGUGCGAAAAUUGUAUGAAGAUAGUUCUUCCUCCUAGAAUUUGAUCAACACUUGAAGGCUGCGUUCUCGUAAAUCGAGUCCUUACUUGAUUUUUUAAAAUUUAGAAUUUUAAUCUCAUGUGCUAAUUAUAUUAUAGUUUUCAAUUUCUAAAAUUUAUUUACAAUCAAUUUCUUAUUACCUACUUUUGACUCCACAAAAAAUCAAGAAAAGGAAAAAGAAAAAAUAGAAAGAGAAAAUCCAAAAUACAAGAGGAUAUACAUGAAAAAAACCUAAAAGAUUACUCAAGUUGAUGGUCACGGACCAAAUUACAAGUGGAAAAGUUGCAGGACCAAAAUGUACAAAACUGCUAUAAUUAACAACUCAAUUCCAAUUGACAAAGGGCCCCAUUGGUGAAAAUAUUUCUAUUAGGGUAAAGAAAUACAAAUUUGGAUAGGUAAGGACUUAAUGAGAAUUUUGGAAGGCUUAAUUAAUUUUAUUGAGGACUUGAUUACUGGGAAAAUCAGUUUUUAGAGUCAAUUUAGGUGUUAAUUGAAAUAAAUUAAAGUCCAGCGACUUAAUUGGUUUUUUAGGAGGUUUAAUUAGAUGAAUCAAGGGCUUAAUUGUAAGAAUAUUGAAGUUUGGUAGGCAAUUGGGGACUUGAUUGAAGAAAUCUAAAACCAAGGACCAAACUGAAUAAAAGGCGCAUGACUGUAGAGACUAAAUUUGACCAAAUUAGGGGCCAAAUUGAAGAAAAUUGAAAGUUUAAUGGUCAAUUAAGGGUCCGACUGCACAAAAUAGAAACUAAGGACCAAGAUUAAAAUGGCGCUGAACUUUGAGGCUGAUGAUUAAGCUGGACAAGAGUGAAAUUACAUGAAAUUAAGAAUUUGAGAGACAAUUAUAGAUGCAAUUAAAACAAAUUUGAAGAAUAGGGACUAAAGUGAAAAUUUUCAAAUCCCAAAUUAAAAACCCUAAUUUCUAGGGUUUAACCUAGACGACGCGUCGUUCGGCCAUUGUUUAGUUUUUUGUUGGAAAUUUUGGUUGAUCGAGUAGGCACCUUAAACAAAUGAAUGUGGCAUUUCCGACCACUUCUAGGACUGUAACCACCACCAUUUAAUUGAGAAACACCCCCUCUACAAAGAUCAACUAUAACCAUCAAGCACUUAUAUCCCAUUUUCUUUAUCGAAUUCAACAACAUCUUGUUUCUAAUUAGCCAUUACUACAUUUUCAGAUUCUCGGAUAAUCAAGUUUGUCACCUUCAAUAAGUGAAUAUGGAGCUACAAACAUCCAAAUUGAACAAGAAUGGACCAAAUCAAAGGUGUGAUUCUCCUUUAUAAAGUUUAGGUGGUCUCCAAUAACAUUUACGUUGGAGUUGCUCUUGCGUGGCCUCAAAAUUGGUCAACUCAGUCAGUCUUGACUAAGAUACCUAUUUGUACAAAACUAUUUGUCGUGUGUUCACACUUAAAAAAUUUUAGAGAGUUCUUAUCAUGGGUCAUAAAUCUUUCAUCCAUAAUCAGAAGAUGAGGGAUGCAUGCCUUUAUCUCCAAGAAAAAGAAAACCUCUUAGGUAAUUUUGUUACAAAACCAUUGUCCCAAAACCAUUAAAAGAUAAAGGUUCUGAUUGUUAACAUUUGUCCAAAACUCUCUCAUUUUGAUCAAAGAGCUCAGCUUUAAUCGAUCUAUAUUUGAAUCCAUCAAAGACCCUAGCAAAACCCUAUAAAUACCCCCUGAAAAAUAAAAAUAAAAAGAGAGAGAGGAAAAACAUGGAAGAAACACAAUAUAAAAAGAUCCUGGUGUGAAGGUUCAAUAGCCUAACAUAAAGGGUCUAACAAGCUUUGGAAAAAAUAUAAUGAAAGGGAAAGAAGUAAAUAAAAGAGAAGGAGAAUAGUUCAUAUAUAGCAAGCUUGGAAAAGGUAUAACCAUGUAGAAAUUCAAGCGUGGAGUCCAUGUGGCCUUCCUUUUCAUGCUUUCUUAAUGUUUAAACCUCUUUUGAUGUUGUUUGAGCUUAUCUUGCAAAUUUUGGUUUGAUUUUGGUGCUAGAAUAAUUUGAUGUUUUUUCAAUAGAGUUUGUUUUGUUAGAUUUCAUUAUGAUAUGAUAAUUUGUUUUGGUCAAUAAUUUGUUAUUGAGGCUUGCACUAAAGACAUGAUUCUUGGUUUUCACACUUGUUUGAUUAUGUGAUUUUAGCCUAAUAGCAUGAUGAUGAUGUAUUUGAGAUAUUUUGAUUGGUGUUUGAAUCUGUUUUGUAAUAAAACAAUAAGUUGUUUUUGGUUGCGGGUUAAAUAUUUUGGAAGCAUGUUGAUUAAUUUGAUGAUUUUAGUGCAAAUUCAUGGUUCAUACAAGUAUGUUUUGGCAUAUAGAUGUUAAAAAUAUCAAGUUUUGAAUCCAAAUAGCAUGAAUAUGCUUCUUGAUUAUCUUUAGUAGUUUUGAACUUUGGAACUUCAUGCAUGUUAUUGAUGACUUUAUUUUAUUUAUUAGUUCUUUGAAUUCAACGAUGCUUAAUAUUGAUAAUAUGGUUUGUAAGGACCAAAAGAAACAUGUUUUAAAAGCCUGAGAGGCUAGUUUUGGGUUUAAUAGUAGGCUGGGAACUUUUAGGUUGCUGGGUUUGGUUUCUUCAUGUUCUUGGAAAGAAAAUUGCCUUAGCACUAUGAUUUAGAUCAACUUUGGUCCCAAUGUUUACAUUAACCAUUCAGGCGACUUGACUAGUAGAUAAUAUAGGGUUUAUUUGCAUUAAUAACAAGUUUCUGGGUUUUUAAUCCUAAGAUUUGAUUUUCAACCGAAACCCAUUUUCACAAAAUCGCGUUAAUUCUUUGAUAAUCAAAGUAAUGGAUGCUAGAUUAUGAAUCAUUGCAUGAUUUCAAAUAAAACAUUGCCCUUGAUUGCAUGAAAACUUGACUAGAUUGAGAUUUGUGUUUGUUAGUUUGUUGAUGAAUACUCUUUGUGUUCUUCAUGAUUUGAAUGUUUGAUCUAUUUUUCUGCAAAUUUUUUUAUGUUUUGUGUUAAUUUUCAACUUUGAUUUUGUUUCAGUUUAAACCUUUGUUUGAGUUUAUUUUUCAGGUCAAACCUUGUUUUUUGGUUCAGUUUAUGGUUAAACUAGUGUCUUUGGGUUGACCCAUUUGGUUUUGUUUUAGGUCAAGUACUUAAGGCUUUGUUUGUUUGAACAACCUUUUGUGAAGGAUAUUUUUGGCCCAAGGGAAUGUUUGGCAAACACACACUUAAGUGCAUUUUGGUAAUUUUUAGGGAAAGAAAAGAUGGUUUUGCCAAACAUUGGCUUAUAGAAAUAAACUAACUAUGUAACUCGCGCUCCGCCGCGGGUUAAAUAAUCAAAAAAUUUUAAAAGAGCUCCUAAACAAAAUAAAAGAGAUGAUGUUUUGUCCUGGUUGUUUCAAAUUUUCAAAUUUCUUGGCUCUUGCUUCACAGUCAGACACAAUCUCAAAAAAGAUUUUAAAAACAUUUAUUUAAAAAAUAAUAGAAAAACAUAGAAAAAAAUUUAAGUAAAGAAAAAAAUUAAAAAUUUUCAAGACACAAUCUCAAUAUAUAUUUUGAAAAAAAAAUAUUUUAAAAAUAAUACAAUAAGGGCCCUUUCUUACUCCAUUAAACGUUGCUUUGUAUUAUACUUUUGCCGAUGUUUUAAUUGCCUUUUCCAUUUUUUGAGAAAUUAUUUUAAAAGGAAAACUCAAAAAAUUUGGUUUUGUUCAUGAAAACUAAAACUUUCAAUGCAAUCAUCAUAUUUUGUUUCUUUAAGCAACUCUCAUAAAAGGUGUUUCAAAAGUUCUAUGAUGAUACCCCUUUGGGCUUUGGUUCACUAUAAACCCCUAUGUGCACUUUUUACCCCUUAGUGUGGUGUGCAAUACCUAUCAGGUUUAAAUUUGGUUUGGAUCCCUUCAAUUUGAGAAUUGAUGGAGUCAUCUUUUUAGUCAUGUGUAAAAACAGUUCUUUUAAGUAAAAGAUUUUGAAUGCUAUGAGAUCAUGCGCUUUAUGAAGAAAAGGUUCUUUAUAGAGAGAAGUCACGGCCGAACUUUAUUUUAUGGAUCGGGAAGCAUAGUAUUUCUUUAUAGAGUCAGAAUUUACAGGUCUAACUAGAUCUUCUCCAUCCAUUCUAGAUAACAAUAAAGCUCCUCCCAAGAAUGCUUUCUUUACCAUGUAAGGGCCCUUAUUGUUUGGCGUCCAUUUACUCUGAUCUUCUCCUGGUAAAGGCUAUAUUUUCUUCAGUACAAGAUCUCUUUCAUGGAAUCCUCGAGGUCAGACCUUCUUAUCAUAUGAUUUGGUCAUCCAAGAUGAUGACAGAUUGCAGUUAUCCUCUUUUUACUGAUCAGAUUCAACUAUUCAUAUCUAACUUUUAUCCAUUCCACCUCUUCUAAACUCAAAGUCUACCAAUACUCUUAAUGAGGGGGUUUCCACUUCUAAAAGCAUCACCGCCUCCAUUCUAUAUACCAAAGUGUACGGGGUGGCUCCUGUUGAAGUUUGAAUUGUGGUGUGGUACACGUGAAGGGCAAAUGGCAACGUCUCAUGCCAAUCCUUAUAGGUGACAACCAUCUUCUAUAUAAUCUUGACAUUUUCGUUAUCAGCUUCUACUGGACUAUUAAUCUUUGGCCUAUAUGGCGAGGAAUUGAAAUGUUUGAUUUUCCAUUUAGCGAAGAGUUCUAUUAUCAUCUUGCUAUUGAAGUUUUGGACAUUAUUAGUUAUAAUAUUUUCUAGUGGACCAUAUCGACAGAUCAAAUCUCUUUCCAUAAAUUUCUUUACCACAUUUUGCCUCCACGUCAUCCAAACAUCUCAACAAAGUUCUGUCAGAUGAUUUCUUAUACAAAAUUUCCCCAUCAAGAUAGAAAUCCAUUGCCAACCUCCUCAAAGUCUUCUUGUUGAUUUUGGAUGCCCCCAUGGGAUAUGUCUGGUUUUGGAUGAAAUUCUUAAUAUCAUAGUACCAAGGGUUUUCAUCUAUUUCUCUUUCAACUAAGCAACAAUGAGCUGGGUUAUUUCUGGUAUCAAUGUGUACCGGUUGUACCUUGUGCCCAAAGUCUAUUCUAGCCAUAGAAGCUAAUGUGACCAAAGCAUCAACAAAAUGUUUUCCUUCCAUUCCUAAAUGGGUGAACUUUAUUUCCCCAAAUUCUCUAGCCAAUUUAGACAGGUAUUCUUGGUAAGGUCUCAACUUCUCGUCCUUGGUUUGCCCUUUUCCUUUCACUUGGAAAAUAAUCAAAAUUGAGUCUCCAUACACAUCUAUCUUUCUAAUAUCCAGCUCCGAUGCCACCUCUAAAACGAGAAUGCAAGCUUCAUACUCCUAUGUUGUUAUUGCACCCAAACUGCGACUUAACUGAAACCGGAUACUAUUUCUUAUCAGGAGAUAUUAGCACUGCCCCCACUCCGUUACCACAGCACCAUCAAAAUACAUAAUCCACCAAUCUGAUUUCCCUUCCUCGACUGAAAGCACAUCUUCAUUAGGAAAAUCAAAUUUUAACGGCUUAUAAUCUUACAUAGCAUGGUCGGCCAGGUGAUUGGCAAUAACACUCCCUUUCAUAGCUUUCCUUGUCAUAUAUAUUAUGUCGUACUUUGCCAGUAGAAAUUGCCAUUUUGCAAUUCAGCUUGAUAGAUAGGGGUGGAUUCAGUAGGUAUUACUUGAUUUUCUCGAAAGCUUCUUCACACUCUUAUUCCAAAUUCCGAGAUUCUUCUUCCUUAACAAUCGAAGAUUGAGUCACAAGUCGUGGUUAAUUGGGAUAUAAACCGGGUAAUGUGAUUCAGUUUUCCUAAGAACCCUCUUACAUCCUUCUCAGUCCUAGGAGUUGGCAUAGAUUGAAUAACCUUUACUUAACUAGGGUGCACUUCUAUUCCUUUAUCACUCAUCAUAAAUCCCAACAACUUCCUAGAUUUCACCCUGAAUGAACACCUUACAUGGUUAAGCCUCAACUUGUACUUCCUUAGUCUUUCAAAUAAUUCCUUCAAUAUUUGGACAUGAUUCUCUCCCUCUCUAGAUUUAGCAAUCAUGUCAUCCACGUAUACUUUAAUCUCUUUUUGCAUCAUGUCGUGAAAUAGAGCCACCAUGGCCCUUUGGUAGGUGGCCUCGACAUUCUUUAACCUAAAUGACAUGACCUUGUAGCAAAAGGUUCCCCAUAGUGUUACAAAGGUUUCUUCUCCUUAUCCUCUUGCGCCAUUUUAUCUUAUUGUAGCCCGAAAACCGGUCUAUAAAGGAAUAUAUGGGGCUACGAGUUGCAUUGUCAACCAACAUAUCUAGGAGUGAUAAAGGAAAAUUGUCUUUAAGGUUAGUCCGGUUUAAGUCCCUAAAGUCCACACAAACUCUAAUUUUAACUUCCUCUUCGGGUACUACCACUAUGUUGGACACACAUUGCGGAUACUUGACUAUUUCUAGAAAACUAGCAUUCCACUGCUUUUCAAUUUAUGUCUUUACCUUGAUCAAGACAUUCAGAUUGGUCCUUCUCAACCUUUGUUUAACCGAUUUGCAUCCUUCUACUAGUGGAACCCUAUACAAACCAGGCAUAUCCUUAUAGGACCAGGAAAAAAUCUACAUAAUCUUGGAAUAGUGCAAUCAACUUUUCUCUUUCUUUAGGGGUGAUCAAAGUUAUUAUCUUCAACUCUCUCUUGAUUUUUCCAUUGCCUACGUCUUUGGUUUCAAAUUCCUCUUUAGCGGGUUUCCAAGUUUGUUCAUGUUGUUCUUAUUAAUUUUUGUGAAUCCUUUAAUGUUAUUUUCCUCUCAUUCUUCUUCUUCUACAACUAAUAUGUGUUCUUUAAAGUUCGGCCAUUCAUUCUCAGUGUAAAGUGCAGGUGUUGUUAUGAAAGAUCCAUUUUGAAAACGGAAAGUGACGUGUAAAAACAUCAAGAUGAACUUUUGAAAAUGCAUGAUCUCAUUAAAAGGAAAAAGUUUGGCUAAAAAAAAACAAGGAUAAAAUCCAAUUGACAUUUGGAACCUCGAUUUAAAAAGGUGAAAAAGGCAAACAACACAAUAUCAUAAUCAAACAAGCAUUGUUGAUUAAAUUUUGAACACCAAUAGAGCUUCUUGGGUCUCCCAAUUCUGGAACAUCUCUCCCUUUGCUAGCUUUUGAAUGAAGGUCUUGAGAUUCAAGAUGCUUUGAGCUUAGGCUUGUUUGGAUGCAAAAAGAUAUUAUGGAGCAUACAUCCUAAGGAUAGGUUCUAUUUCCUUUAUGUGAGACAUUGGGUAGGUUUACUACUUGGUCUCUAAAGUGGGUCUCUUGCUGUCCUAGUGAUCACUCUCGUAAAGGCAAUAUGGGGAUUCAGCAGAUAGUGGGAUGGCACAUGUACCAAUCACUAUCAGUUUAAACAUUCAGCAAAGAGUUGGGGUUUACACAAACUUAAACCUUGACUCAAGUCAUAAGGCAAGCUGCUAGUCCCCCACUUAACUUUAAAUUUAAUGUGUGUGCUCUCCAAAAAGAAAAUAAUGAUAAAGUGAUGAAUGACUACAUCAUGUAUGACAGAAUGUAAAGAUGCAUGCUAAAGCUUUUAAACAAAUUAUCAUUCAUAGUAAAAAAAACAACAACACAUAGCAUAAUAAAAAAAACAAUUACCAAGCUUAGUCCAAGGGUCCCCAGCGGAGUCGCCAUCCUGUCACACCCUCGCGCGGCAUCUAAUGGCGAUUUUCGAUUGAUUUUGGUUUUUUUGUUUCGUGCAUAAAGGAGUCGCCACCUAGUAUUAUGGUCACUAGGAACCUUGACUGGUCUUUCAGAGAUUCUAAAGCAAGGGACUGGUUGCGUAAAGGGAAGGUAUUAGCACCCCUAGUACGCCCUACCUAAGGUAAGCUGCUUGGUGCUUGGUUUGGCUUAUAAUUGCUAUGGUGUUGGUGUUUUCUAAUCCCAUCAAUUUUUCUAGAUUUGAUUCAAACUAAAUUUAUUAAGAUAGAAAUCCAAGGAGAUUCCAUGUGCUUUAAAAGCUCAUUUUUCCUUUAGUAUUUCAAGAGUUUGCGACUGGUAAAUUGCAAGGGGGACGGACAAAAAUUUAGAAAUCUAGGGCACUUUAAAAGCCUAUUUUUGCCUUAGUGUUUUUUUUUACUCUCACGGCUCGUAAACAGUGGAGUAAAAAAUUGAAAUGUCCUCGAUUAUAAUCAAGGCUUCUUUCAAGGAUGUGCGAUGACUUAUUAUCCCUAGAAAAUUAUUUUGGAUAUUUACCACUUAGGGUUUUCUUUAUCCAAAUAUUAACAGCGAAUAAUAACAAGUUAUUCCCAAUAAUAUUUUGGAUAUUCAUCUCUUUGAGAUUUCUUUAUCCAAACAUUAACGGUGAAUAAUAACAAGUUAUUCCCAAUAAUAUUUUGGAUAUUCAUCCCUUUGGGAUUUCUUUAUCCAAAUAUUAACGGUGAAUAAUAGAUGAAUUCCCCCAAAAUAAGAUUUUUGUAUUUUUUGAAAUAUUGGCCAAUACCCUUUGGAGUUUUACAAACAUGUUGUAAAAUCCAGAAAUGCAAGAAAAUAAUUUUUGUUGUGUUUGAGAAAUCCAUGCGAAAACACAUUUUCAAAACUUCAAGUAUUUGUUUUUUUUAAGAGGAAAUUCAAAAGGAUAUUAGGGUAUUGGCCGUAUGCAACACACAAAAAUAUUUUUUUAUAUUUUUAUAUCAGGAAAAAAAAAACAUCAUAGUUAAUCGCAAUUAAAGACAACAAAACCCAACCCGGUUACUGGUUCUGCCACAGUUACAUGCAUAUGCAUGCUACAGUUGCAGUAAUUAAUUUGGUAAAGACAGGGAAAGAAAGACUUACCUGCGAGGCAGCGAAAAUUCAAAAUGCACAGUAACAGGGUGAAUUACAUUUAUGCAUGCAUAGAGAUGAAGAGAGCUUAGCAGGGACGAAGCUGGUGCUCGGGGAUUUAUUUCCAAGCUCAACCCGGUUACUGGCUCAAACCAGUAACCAGUUCUGGUGCAGGGAUGAAGCUGGUGGGUGGCGUCGACCGGGAUGAAACAACUGGUCUCAUUGCUGGGCUGCUGCUUCGGCUAAUACCUGUUCCUAUGGAAGAAAAACAAAAGUUGCACCGCUUGAGGAGAAGAAACUGGAGACGGAACGAAGGGACACAGGCGAUGGUGAAGGCGUGCUGGUUGGUCUCUCUGUGUUUUCGUCUGUUUAUCUUCUUUCCUUCUGCUCGUCCUUCCUCUCAUUCGCGUCUGUCUUGUCUCUACUGAGAAGAAAUGGUUGCUGUUGUUGUGGGACUCGGUGGAGGCCGGUCUGGGGCUAAGUUGACAGAGAGGGCUGCUUCGGGUGCAGGGGAAGAAAUGGCUGGGGGGCUGUGGUUGGCCAGGAGAGGGAAGAUGAGAGGGAAGACGGCAGCAGCUGAGUCUGUUGAGAGAGAUGAGGGAAGAGACGGGACGACUGGUGGGAGAGACUGAGAGUUUGUGUUGAUAGCCGGCUAUGGGGGGUUUGUUUUGGGGCUGAGGGGACAGGAAAGCUUUUGGCUGGCGAGAGGGGAAAAUGAAACCGAAGGGAAAAGGCUGGAAUCGGGGAGAAGGGAGUGUUGGUGCUGUGGUCGGGUGUCUGUGGGGUAAGUGGCUGAGAUGGAGAAAUGGAGGGGCUCGCUGGUGGCUGACUUGGGAGAAGAAGAUGGGGGAAUGGUUUGUUUGGCUGGCGGCAGAGAAAGGAGAGUGCAGGGGCAGUGAGCGGGGCUGUUGGAUGGAGAAGAGGAAGGCUUCUGCUGGUUCACGGAAGCAAAAAUCAAAAGCAGGGAGGGCGGCUCUAUUUUUUUUUCUUUUCAAAGGGAGGCAGCGACCAGAAGAGGAAGAUGAAACGAGUUUAGGGUUUUUUUUUGUGUUUGGCUCCUCUUUUCUGAAAAAUUACUCCCUUUUGAAUAUUUUUUCUCCGGGUGUAUAUGGUUGGAGGUUCACUUAUAUAGAAAAUCUCUAUAUGUGCUAUUUAGAGAAAUAUUACAAUAAUUAUUACAGAGAUUGUCUUCUAUAACCAGCACCAACAAAUCCUAUAUAUAUGGUAUUUUAUAUUGCAGUGAUUUUUUUCCAUAACCAGCACGAAUCAAAUCAUAUAUCUAUGGUAUUUUAUAUUGCCGUAAUUAUAUAUGAUUCAAUAAUUAUCUCCUUCACACAUUGCUUCCUUAAUAUUAGCCCUAAUGCUUUAUGUUAUCGCCACAUGUAAACCCUUAUUAUUAUUUUAUUAUUAUUUUUAUUUUGAAAAAUUUAUCAAAACGUUGGUAAAAAAUCGGGUAGCAACAAGGAGGACCUAAUGUCAUUGGGUCCUGGUGUUAGCAGUACCCAAUAGCCCACAGUUAACCACUCUGUUGGGUCUCCCAGUAGCUCUGGGAAGACAAGGGAAAGCCCCCAGCAUUAAAUUUUGACCAAAACCAUAGCAGGGUAUGACCCCCAGGGUGUAUGGCUGCUGGGUUUGGCUGUGCAACCAUACCCAAUAUCCUUGGGUAUUGUUGCGCAGCCAAACCCAACACCUUUGGAGGGUGUUGGGUCCUGCACCUGAUCAAAAUAGCUAUAGUAUAAGUAAUCCAUCCUAGGGACAUCGGCAUAGGAAGAUUGAAAAAAAAAAAACAAUUGAUUUCCUUUGGUAGAUGGAUUGGAAAUUCAUGUUAUCACGUAUGUGAGAAUUCAAUCACCCAUACCUCUCUAUAUCUCUGCACAUCGUAAAUAUAUAUAUCUUUUUCACUACAGUAUAACACCACCAUUGAAUAUUAAUGCAAGACCAUUGAUCAAUAAGGACGACUGGCUUCCAAACCCAACAACCAUACCCAAUUAAAUUUCUUUGUCGUUGCCUUCUCUGAUUUAAAUUUAUGUUUCAAAAUAAAUUGAUGAGAUUUUUUUUAUAUUGUAUAAAACUUGAGUGAUAAUAAUUUUUUCCGGUUUUAGGUUGGGUUGAAUUUCCUAAUUAAAUCAUGCUUGAUUUUGCAUUUCAAAAAUUCCUUGAAAUUUUUUUGAUAAUUUUUAAUUUUUUUUUCUUUGCUUGAAAUUAAUAUUUUUUUUAUGUUUUUGUAUUAUUUUUUUUAAAAAAAUAUGUUGAGAUUAUGUCUGGCUGCGACGCCAAACCCAAGAAAUUUUAAAAUUUUUAAUUUUUUUUACUUCAAAAUAUUAUUUUCUCCAUGUUUUUGUAUUAUUUUUUAAAUAGCUUUUUUAACAAAUAUAUUGAGAUUGUGUCUAGUUGAGAGGCGAGGCUCAAGAAAUAAAAAAAAAUUUCAUUUUUUUAUUUACUGCAAAUUAAUUUUCGUUUGAUAUUUUUUUCUUCACUUCAAAUUAUUUAGAUCAUGUUUGACUUUGCAUUUCAAAAAUUAUUUGAAAUUUUUUUGACAAUUUUGAAGUUUUUUUUCUUUACUUAAAUUAUUUUUAUGUUUUUGUAUUUUUUUUAAAUGUUGGCAUUGGGUUUGUCUGCAAUGUUAGACCCAAGAAAUUUUCAAAUUUUAAUUUUUUUCUUUCCUUCAAAAUAAUAUUUUUUUUUCAUGUUUUUAUAUUUUUUUUAAAAUAUAUUUUUUAAAAAAAUAUUGAGAUUUUGUCUUGCUCGUUUGUGGGGCCUCUAAACCCAAGGGCGGUUAGAACAGACCUCGACGGCUGGGUCUGCACCCAGCGCGCAGGUCCAGAGGCCAGGAGCGCGGGGUUGCAGACCCUGCCUCGCUGGUCUGCAGACCCCAGGGUUGCAAGGCUGCACACUCGCUCGCACUGGGAUGCAGCCAGGCGCGCGGGUCUGCCCUAACACCUAAGGCAUGGCAGGCCCCGUGCUAGGUGUCUGCAUGCUAGGCCCUUGGGCAACCCUAGUGCCAAGUGGCAGCAGCCUAGAGCACGAGCAGGCACACGUGGCCUGCCCCCCUCCUGGGCCUGACACCCUAAGCGCCAAGUGUCCCCAGCCUUAGGGGUUGUGCGUCCAGCCAGGCAUUUGGGGCCUACACUAAUAUUUUUUUCAAAAAUUAUUUUUUAACAAUAACAAUAAUAAUAAUGAUGAUAUUUGUUAUUAUAUUUUUUUUUUUUUGCAAUUUCCUUCUAUUUUUAAUAUUAAUACAAAUAAUAAUAUUUAGUAAUAAUAUUUUUUUUAACAUUCAAUGAAAUUAAAAAUCAAAAUAUUUAGAAUAAAAAUAACAAUAUUUAGACUACGAAUAAUAAUAUUUAUCACAUUAAUAAUAAUAUGAAACUUGUUUGACCAAAGUUGAUAAAAUAAUAUAUAUUUUUUUAAAAAAUUAUUAACAAUAAUAAUAACGAUAAUUGUUGUUAUAUUGUUUUUUAAAAUUUUUUCUAUCCUUAACAUUAAUACUUUUAAUUACAAUAAAGAUAAUAAUAUUUAGAAUACAAAUAAUACUAUUUAUCAUAUUAAUAAUAAUAUCUACAGUAAUAAAUUUUUUUAUGAUAAUUAACAAUGAGACAAUAAUAAUAAUAAUAAUUGCUAUUGUAUUUUUUCCCCCUGCAGGGUCUGCCGAUCUAACCGUGCGAGCCUCUAAACCCAAGGGCGGUUAGAACAGACAUCGGCGGUCGGGUUUGCACCCAGUGCGCGGGUCAGGAGGCUAGGAGCCGGGGUGCAGACCCUACCUCGCGUGUCUGCAGACCCCAGGGUUGCGGGGCUGCAGACCCGCUCGCCGUGGGGCUGCAGCCAGGUGCACGGGUCUGCCCCUAGCACCUAAGGCGUGGCAAACCCCGCGCCAGGUGUCUUCAUGUUAGGGCCUCGGCCAGCCCUAGCAUCAAAUGGCAGCAGCCUGGGGCGCGCGCAAGCGAGCGUGGGCAACCCAACGCCCAGGCUAGUUAGCCCAAGGUGGUGUGCAUCCACCCAGGCGCUUGGGGCAUGCAAUAAGAUUUUUUUCAAAAAAUGUUUUUUAAAGAAUAAUAAUAAUGAUAAUUGUUAUUAUAUUUGUUUUUUUCAAUUUUCAUCUAUUCUUAAUAUUAAUACAUUUAAUUAAAAUAAUAAUAAUAAUAAUAAUAAUAAUAGUUAGUAUACAAAUAAUAAUAUUUAUCACAUUAAUAAUAAUAUGAAACUUGCUUGACCAAAGUUGAUACAAUAUUAAUAAUAAUAUGAAACUUGCUUGACCAAAGUUGAUACAAUAUUAAUAAUAAUAUUUAUCACAUAUUUUAUCAAAUUAUUUACAAAUAAUAAUAUAUGUUUUAUGUUUGAAAAUCCAUUUUUUAUAUACUCACAUCAAAAUAUUCAUUCGUGUAAAAAGGAAAUAAUAAUAUUAAUUUUUCUUUUCUUUUCUCUUAUUUUUUAUAUGAAUACUUUUUUUUAUAUAUUUUUGAUAUUUCUUUUCUUGAAUUUUCUUAUUAAAGAAUGUUUGUUUUUACGUUUCAAAAAUGCUUUGAAAACAUUUUGAAAAUUUUUAAUUGUUUUCUUUACUUCAAAUUAAUAUUUUUUAUGUUGUAUAUUUUUUUUGGUCUGGCUCCAUUGCUGCGUUUUUAUUAUAAUUCUAAUUAUAAAAUAAUAAUAUUUAUAAUAAAAAUAAUUAUAUUUAGAAAGCUAAGACCCAAUUAUCUUGGGUCGUGACGUAGGACCCAUUACCCUUGGGUCCCGACGCGGGACCUAAAAGAAUUGGGUCUUGACGCAUGACCCAAUUCUCUUGGGUUCUUGGGUCCGGUGGCAGGACCUAAGAGAAUUAUAAUAAAAAUAAUAAUAUUUAUAAUACAAAUAAUAAUAUGUUUAAUGUCAAUAACAUUAAUUAUAAUAAACAUAACAAUAUUUAUAAUACAAAUAAGAAUAUCUUGAAUUUCAAUAACAGUAAUUAUAAGAAAAAUAAUAAUAUUUUUCAUUUAUUAAUUAUUAUAUGAAUAAUAUUAAUUAUAAUAAAAAUAAAAAUAUUUAUAAUACAAAUAAUAAUAAUUUUAAUGUUAAUAAUAAUAAUAAUAUAAUAAUAAUAAUAAUAAUAAUUAUUAUUAUUAUUAUUAUUAUUUAUAAUACAACUAAGAAUAUUUUUUAAUAACAUUAAUUAUAAUACAAAAGUGUUAAUAUUAAAAAUAUUAUCAUUUUUAUUAUAAUUAAAAAUAUUAUUAUUUGUAUUAUACAUAUUAUUAUUUUUAUUAUAAUUAAUAUUAUUCAUAUAAUAAUUAAUAAAUUUGGGAAAUUUAUUAUUAUUAUUAUUAUUAUUAUUAAUAAAUUUUUAAAAUACUAUUAUUACAAUUGAAGAAAAACAUCAUUUUUGUAAAGAUUUAAAAAUAUAAUUCAAAGAAUUCAUAUAAAAAAUAUAAUUAUUUGUAUUAUAAAUAUAAUUAUUUUUCUUAUAAUUCAAAGUAUUCAUAUCAAAAAAUUUAUUAUUUGUGUUAUAGAUAUAUUAUUUUAAUUAUAAUUCUAAGUAUUAAUAUAAAAAUAUUAUAAUUUGUGUUAUAAAUAUUCUUGAGUUUGUUAAUAUAACUAUUUGUGUUAUAAAUAUUAUCAUAACAAAUAAUCAAGCGCCAAGCGCCCUAAGGCUGCAUCCAAGCAUGCGGGUCCGACCAUAGCGCUCAAGGUUGGUCACACCUUGUGCCAGGUGUUUGCAUGCUGAGGCCUCGACCAGCCAUAGCUCCAAGUGUUUGCUGCCUGGGGCCGCGACUAGGGGCGCGUGGCUGGCCCCAACACCCUGGCUUGGCUACCCAAGCACAAGGUGUCGACAGUUUGAUCUAAUUAAAUGUCGCCUUUGCCGCUACAUCACUCCCAUCUUAAUGACAAAAGUCAAAUGAACCACCCUAGCCGCAAUUCUUGACUAAAAACACAGGUAAGGAACACACCCCAAGGUGCUAUAGUGUCGUCCACAGUUCAUUGUAUCUUGGGCCAUAGUGCAUGUACAGUAGAAAAUCCUCAUUUGUGUUAAGACAUAGCAAAGCAACUAUGUAAGUUUUAAUACAUAGCAAAACAAUUGUGCAAGUCCACAGUUAAUUGUCUCUUGGUCCACAGUGCAUGAAGGUACAGUAAGUCCACAGUGAAUUAUCUCUCAGUCCACAAUGUAUUCAUGUAUAGUAGAAAACCCACGUGUUUUAGAGUUCUGUUAAUAAUAAAAAAAAAUAGAAAAUAAUUUUGAUAUGUUGCAUACGUCUCAAUCCUUACAUAACAUUGCAAUUUAUUUAUAAAAAGGAGGGGAACAUGUUUUUAGCAUUGGAAUUUUUUUUCAUUUUUGUAAUUUACAAUAAGUUUUUAAAAUUCCUUAAGGAUUUGGCCAAUAUUUCAAUAACCCUAAAAAUUUUAAUUUCUAAAAAUUAAAGGUCAACAUUCUGGUAUAAAUGUUAGACCUACCAGUAGGCUAGUAUUUAAGUACCAGAAGUUAACAAGAAAAUUUUUAGAAUUAUUUUGGAUAUUCAUCAAUUUUAAUUGUGAGUAUUUUUUCAUCACAAUAUAUGAGUUGUGAAAAACAUUUUCGCCUUUCAGGAUAGGUGACUCUUAUCAGAGCACCUACAUGAAUUUUUUUAUAAUAAUUUACCUAAGUAUACGAGCCCAUAAUAAAUUUGAAAUGUCAGAUUUAUUUAUGGGAGUAAUUUUUUUUUCUGAGCCAUAAAUGGGCUACCGGUUAGGAACUCAUCAACACGUUUAAACCACAUCAUGACAACACAAUACAACUUACCUCAAGUAAGGAUGCUAAUACCUUUUUCUAACUAAUUCUAGUCACUUACCCUAAAAUUUCAGAUAAAAUCAGUCUACUUGGGUCUUCUAAUGACUCUGAACCACAUAACUAGGUCGAGACUCCUUAAUCUCGAUGCUGCAACACCGCGCGCACAUGGGCGACACCAUUCAUGCUUGAUUAAUCAUCCAUGUGAAUUAUUAGGUUUCGAAUAUGUUGGCACAAAUAUAAAUCAUAAUCCUAUUCAUAACAAGAUUAAAUAAAUUAAGCAAUUUAACUUACUAUCAAUCCAACAAAUUGAUAAAUUUAUAUUUAAAUAUCAAAUGCAACAUACCAUGAUCUCUUAAAUCUUAUCCCAGUAUAAAACAAAUGUGAGUAUAUGAACCCAUGAAGUGGUAUCAGAAUCUAUUUUCCUAUUAUUAUUAACAAAACGGAAAGCCAUAACUUACUGUUUGUACUAUAUAAUAUUGGGAUUGAGAAGUACAAUGUCCAGAAUGCUUUUCAGGAUAACCAUAUGUUCACAUCCAUGAAUCUCAAUGGAUUUCCCUUAUAUAUUACACAUUGAAAAAAUAAAAUAUUUAUCUAGUAUUUAUAUAAUAAACUUUGAUACAAGAUAAUAAUCAAAACAAAAGGGAAAGUGGACAUGCCUGUACAAGGUUGAGCCGGGCAAGAGGAAAACUUCUGAUUGCUCUCUGGCGUAUGAGGCAAUGCCUAUACUUUCUGAACCUUUUGUUUCUAGCAAUAAUUUGUUUUUAGCUCUUAAACUGAAACCAUAAUUUUUUUAAAACUUAGAAUUAAUUUUCUAUUAGUCACAAAAUCCUAACAACUCUUUUAUUUUAAAAUGUUUUUACAACUCUUUAACUUCCUAACAACUCUUUUAUUUUUUUGAACUGUUAUAACAACCUUUUAAUUUUCUAAUUUAUUUUCUUCCUAGUUGUUCCAUGUUAACAACCUAUAUAUACCAUGCACUCUUACAAUCAAAGUGUGCUGAAAAAACCAUAUUAUUUUUAUGUAUUUGCAAAGCUUGCUGGCAUUUCCUUUCGAUCUUGGUCUAGCUGUUUCUGUAACCCUUGUUUUUUUAAAAAACCUUGUUGAAUUCUAGAAUAUAAUGUUGAGAAAAUAUCUUUAAGGACAAUUUUGUGCAUGCCUCAAGUUUUAUUUUAUUUCUAUUCUUCAUCGUAUUUUAUUACAACAUCUAGGACAUCCUUAAGUAAAUAUCCUUAAGUAAAUAAAGAAAGCUAGAAUAAAGUGCCUUCACUGAUUAUUUAGCAUUACUGAGCAGGCCAGGUCUUCACUGCUUAUUUCCUAAUAAUUCCUUACUGUGGAAUUGCACUUACAAAUAAAGAACUUGUUCUUGAUAUUUUCGUACGGAAUUUCUCUCUCGAUGAGUCGGUCAAUAAAGUAACUUCGUUAUUCGGAUUAAUUUGAGGCCGGCCAUGAGAUGGAGAGGUUUUGUCACAUUAAUUAUAUAUGUCAUGUUACUUAGGUUAAAUAGAAUAAGAAAUAAAGAUAUAGGUUAAAAGGAAAAGUUAGUUAUAUGGAAUCAGAUUCACCAUUAAACUGAAGAGUCUCAUCGAUUCUACGAAACUUGUCGGAAGGAAUCAUUUGUUCAACAAAUCUUAAAUUUUUACUUGAGAUUCCGAAAGCCCAUCUCUAUGGAGGAGCUCUUUGGCAAUUCAUCCUCUAAGUGGAUUUCCUCGAAUUAAGAUGAGAAGAUCCGGCUUCAGCCAAUUCUGUUGUUUUUCUUGAUUUUUCAAGAUUUCAUGUUUUAUUUUGGAUUUUCCAUUGUUUUUCAAAUUAAAGAAACCAAGAUAAAAUACCCUGAAUCUUCUUUCAUAAUUUGCUUUCGAGAAGGUUUGGUGUUUUUGCUACUUUUACUUUUGGACCUGACUUGAUUCCUGACCGGUAGAAACAGCAUUAGUCCAAAAGAAGGGAAGCUUUUGUUUUUCUUGAAUCACAUGAUCUGAUAUUAUCAUUUAUGCCCAACACAAAUUCAUAAAAGUGGCUCUAAUGAUUGGCUGACAACAGUUGUUAAUGAGCAGUGUUAUUUUUCAGUUUACUAAGUAUUUAGAACAUUCAAUUCCAAUCCAAAGUCGAUAAUAAUAAACUCUUGGUGAUAGUUUUGUCAUCGAUGGUGAUCGGACGACAAAAAAACUAGAAUGAAUGGAGAUACCGUUAUUUUAUCACUGUAAAAAUAUGGAGUUGGUUUUUAAUGGGUCACGAGUCACAAAGACGAAAACAAGCUUCGCCAUAGAGAAGAAUACACAACUACUAGUCUACUAAUGACUUAAUAGUCUAUGUUUUCCCGAUGGACAUGCCUCGAACAUAUCAAGGUUAGUUAAUUUGCAGGAAUGCAGAUUGUAUGGAAUGAAGAGUCAUGACUGCCAUGUGUUCAUGCAAACACUCAUUCCAUUAGCUUAUCGUGAUUUAUUGCCAAAAGGGAUAUGAGAUGCACUCACGCAGAUCAAUCAUUUCUUUAGACAUAUAUGCGCCAACAAGUUGCACACACAUCACAUUGAGAGGCUUGAAACGAAUAUCGUCGAGAUAAUAUGCAAACUUGAGAUGAUAUUCCCUCCAUUAUUUUUUGAUUCGAUGGAGCAUCUACCCAUACAUUUACCGUACGAGGCAAAAGUUGGAGGCCCAAUCCAGUAUAAAUGGAUGUAUUUAUUUGAGAGGUUAGAUAUUAUAGAUGCAACGUAAUGAUUAAUGUAUUUUCAUUUUUUUUAUUAAUUGAAAAUAUUUAUUUAAUUCAAUGUAGGUACUUGUUUAAUCUUAAGAAAAAAGGUUAAGAACAAGGCAUAUGUAGAGGCUUCGAUAUGUGAGGCCUAUAUUAUUGAGGAGAUCUCAACAUUUAUCUCGUACUAUUUCGAGCCUCAUUUGAGAACGGGAAUCAACCACAUUCCACGACAUAAUGAUGGUGGUGAAGUGCCUUCAAGUGGGAACUUGUCAAUAUUCUCCAAUCUUAGAUGACCCACACCUAAAAAUGUUGUAAGGAGAAGUUAUUUUUCUGAAAUAGAGUUCCAAUAAACACACAAUUAUAUGCUAUUUAAUUGCGAUGAAUUGAGACCUUUUAUUCAGUAAGUAUAUAUACUACUUAAACUUUGUUAUAAAUGGACUAUUUAUCUAUUGUAAUAUCACAAACUCAUACAAUUUUGAAAACCUUGUAGGCAACAUCGACAAUAUUUAUUGUCUAAUAACUCACACCUGACCAAAUCUCAAAUCUUUAGAUUACAAGAUGAACAAUUUGCCACGUGGUUCAAAACACAUGUAAGUACUAUCACAAACUCAUUAUCUAUCAUGGUACUUAAUUUCAUUACAGAAUUCUUGUUUACUGUUCAUUGAUGUACUUGAUGUACAAGGUUUAUCAAAUGGGAAGGAAUGCUAGUAUUUCAUUAUCUUUACUAAGCUUGGGUCCUGAAAGAAAAGUGAAGUGCUACAAUGGGUAUUUUGUCAAUGGAUAUGUGUUUCAUACCGAAGAAUACUGGCAUGAAAGAAAGACAUAUAACAGUGGUGUUUGUGUUAAGGGAUUGACUUGUAAUGAAUUUGAAGUUGACUAUUAUGGUAAAUUAGAAGAUGUCGUUGAAUUGCAAUAUCAUAGCGAGCAUAAUAAAGUGUUUUUAUUCAAAUCUUAUUGGUAUGACACCACUGAUAGAGGAAUCACAAUAGAUCCCUACUAUGGUCUGAUCGAAGUUAACUCCAAAGCUAGACUCCACAACGUAAACGAUGUCUUUAUUUUCGCCAAGCAAUGCCAGUAAGUUUAUUACACAUACACCCCUUCCAUUAGAAAUGAUCGAUCAAGAGUUAAUUGGUAGAAAGGCUAGGGGAGUGAGACAGGUUUGGGUUGGUGCUGGUCUAAAGGAAAGAACAAAAGGCAACGGGUUUAGGGAAAAAUGUAAUCUUUGCUGGCUGCUAGGUUUUAGUAUAAUGGGGCUAGGCUUUUUUUUUUUGGACCAUGAGGAAGAAGGAGAUAAGUGCAGGGAAGAUUGAAGAUGAUAAGUGUAUGGAAGAUGGAAUGGGUAAAGGUCAUGUUUUUUUUUUUUUUGCAUUUUUUUUCUAGAAAUAGAAGGUUUGUUUCUAGUGAUUUUUUGUUAGCCUCUUUAACUAAUUCACUCCUUUUUUUUUUUUUGCUAAUGCUCUCUACCCUAAAACCCCCCCUUUUUUUAUGUAGUGCAACCACUUAUUUAUAGGCAAAACAAGUUUGUUUUUUUCAAUUGCUUGGUCUCCAAGCAUACUUAGUGACCAAGUUAACCCAAAAAUAAUUUAGUCCCUCAAUUCUUUCUUUUCACAUUUGGUCCCUUUGUUCAAUUUGAUUUUUCUUUUUUUGUAUUUUGAAUUUUUUUGAAAAAGAGCAAUAUCAAUGUUGACUUAAUAAGCGCAUUAACAACUGAAUGUGUUGAACAUAGAUUUUUGUAUUUUAAAUUCUUUGAAAAAGAUGUUGAAAAUGACGCAAAGACAUUAAAAACAAAUUUUUUUUGGGUUUUUUUUAAAUCUUUUAAAAUGGAGUAAAAAUAUUAAACAGAUGCCUCCUCUUUACAAUACUUAUGGAACAAAGACUUGUUAAGUUCUUGACUAACAAACUGUUCUUCUCAAAGCUUUUAGUUCGGUUGACCUGAAACUUUGUUUUCGCAGCAAUCCCCAUCAACGGAAACUACGAUCAAACUGUGUACAACUUGGUUAUCUUGAAAUCCCAAUCUAGUGAUUUUCUUAAUCCAAAACCAAAAUCAUUGCCAAAAGUUUGAUCAAUCUGAGAUCCCAAGUUGGCGAUCCGCUUUAACUAGAACUAAAAUAUGAAAAAUAGCUCGGUUAACCUGAAAUCCCAAUCUGGCGAUUCACUUUAACCAGAACCUUGGUCUUUGUUGUUAAGUUGAUCAACUUAAAAUCCCAAUACGACGAUUCUCUUUAAUAAGAACCAAAAUGUCGCCUUUAGCUUAGUUAAUCUGAAAUCUCAAUCUAAAGACCCCCUUUAACCAAAACCUUGGUCUUUUUCUUUAGCUCGAUCAACUUGAGAUCCCAAUCUAGUGAUUUCCUUUAACCAAAACCAAAAUGUCACCUUCAGCUUGGUUAACCUGAAAUCUCAAUCUACAGAUCCCCUUUAAUCAGAACCUUGAUUUUUGUCUUUAGCUCACUCAACUUGAGAUCCUAAUCUGGCUAUUCCCUUUAACUAGAACCAAAAUGUCACCUUCAGCUUGGUUAACCUGAAAUCUUAAUCUAGAGACCCCCUUUAACCAGAACCUUGGUCUUUGUCUUCAGCUUGGCCAACCUGAAAUCCCAAUUUGAUGAUUCCUUUUAACCAGAACUAAAAUGUUGUCUUAAGCUUGGUUAACCUAAAAUCUCAAUAUAGAGACCCCCUUUAAUUAGAACCUUGAUCUGUUUUUAGCUUGAUCAACCUGAGAUCCCAAUCCGGCAAUCCUAUUUAACUAGAACCAAAAUGUUUCUUUCAGUUUGGUUAACCUGAAAUCUCAAUCUAGUGACUCCCUUUAAUCAAACGAUUUCCUUUAACCAAAACCAAAAUGUUGCCUUUAACUCGGUUAACCUAAAAUCUCAAUUUAGAGACCCCUCUUUAACUAGAACCAACCAUAGGCUACUUAUAAAUCAACCUUCAACACCUAAAAACAAACCUCCACAUAACAACACUGCAAUUAUCAAUAACAACACCUAGUUCUAGCUAAAACCCUGAGCAAGAUAGCAACAACCCACAAAAAGAUAAAGCUGCUAAAUUGUUUCAACAUCUUAUCUAUAUAUGUAGAUUGAGACAAUUAAAGCAACUUUCUAGAUCUAUCCUUGUAGAUUUUUAUUUUCAGUAUAUAGACUGCUUCUCCCAUAUCCUUUCUAGGUUGCACCAGAUUCUUUUUUGUUUAAGUUUUGUUGGUUGAAAAAAAACUUUCUAAAAUUAUUAUUAUUAUUAUUAAUUUUCAUACACAAUUAUAUUUAUGAUUAUUAUAUGGUCAAUUUGUCUAUGUCAAAGAAUAGAAUCUGAGUCAACUUUUUGACCAAAAUUCCGUUCUCUAUUAUUCCUUCAAUAUUGGGGUUUAAUGCAAGCAACUUGUUUAUUCGGAUUUGAGAUGUAAAUAGAUUUUAAUUUUGUUAGGAUGAGGUGGUCAGGUUGCGUCACAUUGAUUAUGUCAUGAAGUUAACUAGAGUAAGAAAUAAAGAUAUCAAGUUUCGGAGAGAAUCAAGAUCAGUUAAAGCAAAAAAAAAACAGAUUAUGAAAAUAAAUUGGAAAGGAAAAGUUUAGUUAUAAGGAAUCAGAUUCACAAAGAAAUUUAAGUCUCAUCGAUUCUAGGAAACAAGUUGGAAGGAAUCAAUUUUACAAUAAUUGAACUUGGCACUAGAGAGAACCUUCGUGCCACUAAGUACUGAAUCGUUAUUCAAAUGUACUGAAGGCCAUUUGUUUGCCAUUUGUGCUAAUUAAGAACAUAAUUCUAUUCUUUUGUGAGUUAAUAUUCUGUAAAAUAAGCUUGGAAUAGCUUGCGGGGGCUUGGCUCAGAGAUCAUUGAGUUUUCACUACAAAUUGCCUUCUAAUGAUUAAACUGAGAUUUUUCUGAUUAGAGAACAGAAGGAAUCUUCUUUCAUAAUUGGCUUUUGCGAAGGUUUAGUGUUUUUGCUACUCCUGCUUUUGGACCUGACUUGAUUCCUGACCGGUAGAAACAGCAUUAGUCCAAAAGCAGGGAAGCUUUUGUUUUCUUGAAUCACAUGAUCUGAUAUUAUCAUUUAUGCCCAACACAAAUUCAUAAAAGUGGCUCUAAUGAUUGGCUGACAACAGUUGUUAAUGAGCAGUGUUAUUUUUCAGUUUACUAAGUAUUUAGAACAUUCAAUUCCAAUCCAAAGUCGAUAAUAAUAAACUCUUGGUGAUAGUUUUGUCAUCGAUGGUGAUCGGACGACAAAAAAACUAGAAUGAAUGGAGAUACCGUUAUUUUAUCACUGUAAAAAUAUGGAGUUGGUUUUUAAUGGGUCACGAGUCACAAAGACGAAAACAAGCUUCGCCAUAGAGAAGAAUACACAACUACUAGUCUACUAAUGACUUAAUAGUCUAUGUUUUCCCGAUGGACAUGCCUCGAACAUAUCAAGGUUAGUUAAUUUGCAGGAAUGCAGAUUGUAUGGAAUGAAGAGUCAUGACUGCCAUGUGUUCAUGCAAACACUCAUUCCAUUAGCUUAUCGUGAUUUAUUGCAAAAGGCAAUGAGAUGCACUCACGCAGAUCAUCAUUUCUUUAGACAUAUAUGCGCCAACAAGUUGCACACACAUCACAUUGAGAGGCUUGAAACGAAUAUCGUCGAGAUAAUAUGCAAACUUGAGAUGAUAUUCCCUCCAUUAUUUUUUGAUUCGAUGGAGCAUCUACCCAUACAUUUACCGUACGAGGCAAAAGUUGGAGGCCCAAUCCAGUAUAAAUGGAUGUAUUUAUUUGAGAGGUUAGAUAUUAUAGAUGCAACGUAAUGAUUAAUGUAUUUUCAUUUUUUUUAUUAAUUGAAAAUAUUUAUUUAAUUCAAUGUAGGUACUUGUUUAAUCUUAAGAAAAAAGGUUAAGAACAAGGCAUAUGUAGAGGCUUCGAUAUGUGAGGCCUAUAUUAUUGAGGAGAUCUCAACAUUUAUCUCGUACUAUUUCGAGCCUCAUUUGAGAACGGGAAUCAACCACAUUCCACGACAUAAUGAUGGUGGUGAAGUGCCUUCAAGUGGGAACUUGUCAAUAUUCUCCAAUCUUAGAUGACCCACACCUAAAAAUGUUGUACGGAGAAGUUAUUUUUCUGAAAUAGAGUUCCAAUAAACACACAAUUAUAUGCUAUUUAAUUGCGAUGAAUUGAGACCUUUUAUUCAGUAAGUAUAUAUACUACUUAAACUUNNNNNNNNNNNNNNNNNNNNNNNNNNNNNNNNNNNNNNNNNNNNNNNNNNNNNNNNNNNNNNNNNNNNNNNNNNNNNNNNNNNNNNNNNNNNNNNNNNNNCAAGAGCCGGCGGCCACCAGUUAUGAAGGUUCCCUAUGCUCAUCCCACAUAUUACUAUGUUCCUGCAACAGAAGUUAUCGACAGCAACGAGGCAGCUCAACGCUACAAGGGGAGGGUUUAUGUCGAUUAUCCUAAGGGGAAACCAGUUCCGUUUUAAAGACCUAGUGAUUAAUCACUUAGCUUUCUUGUAUGCAUAACCUCCUCCAGUUGUGUUACCUUUAGUCCUGUACGAUAUUCUCCCUCUGCUAAACGUAGACGAGGAGAGGUUGCUAGAACUCGAGUCAGGAGCUUCUUCUUACUUCUUCAAAUAAACUUUCUGUGAUUUAUAUAUCAUUUUCUAUUUGUAUGUAUUGUCAUAAUUAUCUUUCUUACUUCCUCAUUAUCACCUCAUACUUAGCAUGGAAUUGAAAGAUACACAAGUAAUAUGCUCUUGAAAUGCUUUGAAGCUCUUCAAGGUGUGAUUUCACCGACUAAGUUUGGAACUGUACAGAGCUCAAUGAUGAGCCGUGGGAGGCGUCUCUGAUUGUUGCACUGUAAGCAUGAGUGUACGUAUGAAUAUAACCAGCAGAUCCGCAAACCACAAGUGAUGACAAGCUUCUUAACACUACUACAGUUAACAGUUUUACUGACUGAUUUACGGACGGAAACAGUCCGUCGGUAAAUUCCUCUCGUCAGUAAUUUCAUUAAUGUCGG
rnacentral:lncRNA from 1 species